rnacentral:lncRNA from 1 species
AUUGGUUAGUGGGGAAAAACCGGGCCGGGACUCAAAAGAAUUUGGCGAAGUCUUUGUUCCUGAACGACGGAAGUGGAAAGACAAACAGGGAGAGGGAUAUACUCCUUUUUUUUGUAAUCGCCGAAAUUGUACGACGAACCUUCUUGUUCCAGGCGUACGACCCUGAGACGUGACGGUGUCACUUUUCCGGCCCGGUAAAGUGACAGUUACAUAAUUAAGAAUAAGAAAGAGAAGAGCUAAGAUUCAGGAAAGGAUGACCUUAGGUUAGGGUAUUUGUUCCAUUUUUGAAACGGGAGUCUUUUUUUUUUCGAUUUCUGAUUCCCUUGAUCCAAACGUCGAAUGUGAACAUACCAAUACGACGUAUUCGCGAGCGCACCUAACGAUGACUUUCGUAAGUAGUGUGAACCAGGACUAGAAACUGGCCCCUGCAGUGUAAGCCGGGAGUACUGCAAAGGCCCUCUGCAGGGAUAGAGGUUGUUCCUCUCGGACCUGACCAAUCCGAAAGACAAUAGCAUCUGCGUGGCGACUCCACUGGGGAGAAGAGUUUCAGUCUGUGGCUUAUCUCAACCCCUUGUUGGUAGUUGCCCACUAGGAAUCUUUUUUCCCACACACUCAGUGGACUAAAUCAUCCACUGGCGACCUUGCUCCAUUUGAAGUCUAACAGUUCAUCACCCUGCAGGUCUUACAGUCAACUUCUACGAACCCAAGCAUCUAUAGACCUGACUGGCACUGACUGUAACGAUCCAGAAAGACCGCAACCUAAAACGGAGAUAGAACAGAACCAUCAGAUGAUGAAUACUCCUCCGAAACGCUGGCUAUCCGCCACCCCACUGGCAUUACAGCCCCCUCCAGGGCCCAUGCCGGAUCUCAUAAUCCUAGAGAACUUCCCGAAGUUCUUCGGUGCAGGAUCUUACUCUGCUGAAGACUACAAAACUUUCAAGAUCUCUGCACUGAUCAUUCUAUCGAGGAUGAGACGGUAGCAGUCAGACUGAAAGUCAAAACCUUUGACGGAUUAGCUCUGAGCUGAGGCAGUUGACCCCUUCCUCCAUUUUAGGUUGGGAUUAUUUUGAAACUGCCUCGAGGGUAAACAUUUAGGCCUAAACGAUCUCAUGAGCAUUAAAAAAAAGUAAGGAUAAUAUUUAUUAGAAUACAACGAACGGUAGAACUGCCUAAAUCAAUUUCGCUGAGAGUUCUUUGUAGAACCACGUUGGUUAGGGAUCUGUACGUCCGUUUCCUAGGCCAAUAAUAGCCUUCCAAGUACAGCAGAGGAAGCCCAUAAGUCUGAAAAAAAGUACUUAUCAGCAAUCUCAUAAGUACUUGGAAGGGGAGGAAUCUCAUUUUUUCGUAGGACAUAUUCCCCAAAAGCAAGCAUUCGCUUCCUUAGACAAGGAGCAAAGCCCUCGCCGCGAAGAGCGAGUGCUUGACUUUUUUGUUGUUUUUAGGGGCAAAGCUCGUUCGAGGAAGCUCCUCAGUAAUCGUCCGCGGAAAACUCCUAUUUCGUUUCCUCCAUCUAAGCGAGUGCCCUGCUUUGAUUCCAGAGAUGUUUCCGAUACAAACAAUUCACUAUUUCCUUCCGAUGCAGUGACUUAUUAAUUGAAGGAGGUGAACGGACAGCAAGGGGGAGGCGGGCAUUUUUAUGUAACCGUCAGUACGUCGACGUUCGCUCAAGCGAGAGGUUGUAUACCUGGUUGGACGAUCAGUGGUAGCUGCUAUAAGCAGCUCAUGUCUCGUACUACGAAUAAGAAAGUUGCAAUAAUAGAGAUCUCUUUCCUCACCGAGUUUGCCGGCCUGGGAUGCGGAUUCGAACCGCGUGGUUUAUCGGCUGAUCGAUCUACCAUUUGAUCCCGCGGGGAAAAAAAGAGCAGGCGCACCCCGCUUUUGCGAAAUUUCAAUUAGAAAAUCUCAAAACUAUGAACAGAGUCGCCGGUCAAACCGGAUUUAUAGCAUCAUUAAGGUAAAUCAAAAUGAAGAUUGCAGGGUCUUUAGACACUUUACCGGCGGGGGAGGCGUAAGGAGGUUAAGUACUCCGUUUUGAACGACCACAUUCGACGCGUCGACACUCGGGGUCUGACGAAACGAGCGUUCAAACAGACCAAAAUUGUCCUCCCCAGGGCCACGCAUAGAGAUCAGUGAUCGACAUAACCUGGCACUACCAGUCGAAUAAAAAAAAACUUCCAGCCAGCAACCACUCACCACUCGGAGGUAGGAGGAGGACUCAAGGUUCACAUAAGAAAGGCAUGGGACAACCUUCUCUCUUAAGCCUUAUCUCUCACCGGAUUCGCUUUGUAGUCUCGUUCCAGCAGCUCGGAGCUGCGGGGAGCCGGGAAGGCAUGCUUAAACUUGACAACUAGCGAGAGCGGGGAAGCAGCCGUGAAGUUCGUGUAAUUACCCCCUUUCAUCCAACUAUUUGAUACGCGAACUAAGUCAGUUCAGUUAGAACAGGUUGCCCGGUCAAAUAUCGUAAGGCUCCACCCUUUCUUGGAAUGGUAUAGGCCGCCCACAUCUUCAUUUUGAGAAUAUGGCAAAGCUAUGCGACCCCCAUUUCUUCAGCUAGUAUGGCGCAGCGGGUCGGACUACGCAAGUCUUUCCGCUGGGAGCUCACGAGCGAUCCCAUCCGGGUCAACCACUUACCUACUUACUUAUCGAAUGAAACCCGGAAAAGGGAACGACGGAGCUGCGGUUUCAGCUGACUUAGUCUUUUACAGAUAUCCUCAUUGAACCUAUAUGAAUUGCCAAGCUUUCGAAGCACUUCUUGUUCCACCAACAGAAUCUUCGGCUGAAGGGAUAUGGGAAGCCCUUUUGUCUACUGACUGAAUGCAGGGUGUCCCAACCAAUAGACAGGAGUCAACUUGUAUUUAGUUUCCAUAAGAGAGGCAGUGGAAACCCACUAGAGUUUUGAGUCGUUCAAACGUCGGAUAGAUAGCGCGAGGAAGUGAAAGAGGAUCCACCAAAGGGCUACCAAGAACCAAUAUGACAUAUGGGUCACCUUUGCGAGGUUAGAAGGAGGGAUAACUACUCUAAGUUGGACCUAUUAGUACGUGCUUUUGCUGCUUCGCUUUCGAACUGUCCCUCAGGCAAUCAAUAAAGAAUUCGCGGCCAGGAAGAGGGUGAUGGGCUCAGCUCAAGCUGCUGUCAGGAACAAAGUACUCGCAACAAACUGGCUUUGGUGAUUCAGUCGAAUUGGAUAGUCCAGCCCCUUCUUUUCUCCCUUUUCCGCUCUGUGGAACUAGUUAUGCCAAUGCUUUUUCCCAGGUUGUUGAUGGAACCUGGCUUUAAUCUUUUGAUAGCAGGAAGGAGAGGGAGUCCAAUCAGUCAAAUAGGAAGGAAAACGGAAAGUCGUCGAAAAGCAGGGGUGGGUGGCCAAUCAGCCAACGAUCUAGUAGCCCUACUGAUCAACUUCCUAAUCUCUUGCGUAUUUACGCCCCUACCGAAAAAUCUUCGAUUCCUCUAUCACUCGAUGGAAAAGGUGAGGUACUCAAAGAGAUGGCUUUCCAAGCAAGAUGAGUGAUGAUCCGAGUCGUCGUUCUUUCUCCUUGUUGAUCACAUGGCUAUUGUGCUAUUGUAGUCCCCUCUACCUUUGGAGAGAACCCAUCCUCCAUUGAUUCACUAGACUUGUAUCUAUCCUCAACAAGCUCUUUUGAGGUGAGAUCAGUCAGUCUAGAAAACAGAGUGGAAGGUCCGGGGGAAGGCGGUGGGUCAUCAAAAAGUAGUUGAAUCGAUCAGUCCGUUCAUAGCAGUCAGACACAAAUCCUGGCUUUCUCUACUGUUUGGGAGCACCGGAUAAUAAGGAAAUCACCAAUUAGAGUUUGUCAUGUAAAGUGAGUCAAUAGUCCUUCUUUAGAAUCAGUGGAAAUGCCGGGGGUUCCCCAAGUCAGCAAUAGCAAGUCUGCAAGACAUAGCCUCAGACUCCUGGUCUGAGGUCUCAUUUGUCGUCUUUUGCAAAGACGGGAGUCAACCUCUACGGUUCGGUUCGUAAGGAUAAAGAAGAAAAAGGCCCCCAAUGAAAGUCAGCAAUAGAGAGGAAGCGAAAAGCGCUGAUUCUGUUCUAUACAAAAGCAUGACAAAUCGCCUAAGACAAACUGGUGCUCGACGUGUAGACCGAUGACUUUCUGAUUGUGAUGUACCUGAUCCUAACGACAUCAAUGGUACUCUCGUCUAUUCUGCCACAGAUGCUCUUUUUUUUUUAGUGCUUUUUUUCUUUCUGACACUAUCACAUCUAAUGCUUGCUGAAAAGCAACCUCUGCGAUGAUGCUCUUGCAAACCUUCCUAUGACUGAACGAGAGCCUUUUUCAACUUUCCCACUAACAGAGAAUGAAGGGAGGCAAAUCGAAGCCCUGUCUCUUGCCCGGCGUAGCUGUAGGUUGACGUUAUGGUCCAACCGGAUGCUAGGAGGUGCAUAGUUGUUGGCCCAGUCAGUCCGACCUGUGUACAGUCUCGCCUUCAGUCAAUAUGAACGAUAGAAUAUUUUUGAUAUUGACUGCAUGACGAACCAACCUUUUUGGCAUGGAGCGGCUCAAUUCCUCUCUAUUAGCGCAAAGGUUAAUGAGUGCCCUAUCCCUUUUCUUUUUCAUGUACUUACUCUAUAUGGCCUUGGUCUCGUUUGUCUCACUCUUUCACACUAGUCGAGGCAAGCAAUUCUGACUCCGAAAAAAGAAGACUGUGACGACGCUUUUUUUUUUAGAGGCGUGUAGAAUGACGACGAUCUUCUAGCCACGGCGCUAUGACUCGAUUACUGAUGGCAUAGUUAGUAGCCUUUUAUGGUCCACGAUUCUCCGUACAAUCUUAUGUAUUAUUAAUACAUUGAUAAGUUGACGUGGUCAUUUCUAGUGCUGGAUUCUUGGUAGGCCUUCUCUUCCUGGGGAAUGGGGAAAGGAAGAAUGUUCUAUUCGUUCCUUCAGCAAUAAGGAGAGGGGCAGGAGGGUUCUUUCCUUUUUUAUUUAAGCCUUAGCCGAGAGGAGAAGAGACCUUCUUUUUGAGCUUGGAUCUCGCUUUGAUCUUUGCUGACCGAUAUCCUUAGUCUUGAUGCUAACAUCUUAAGCCUGUGUACACGGCUUCUUAUUCACUCUUUCUUUGGUAAAAUUGUUUACCGAUCUUCUUCGGAAUAUGGCUCUCGGUCUACGACAUCAUGAUCACCUACCCUCGAUAUACUUAUAUAAGUAUAUAUAAGUAUCCAUUAGGUUCACUCCCUUGAAGAGACGAUUGGAGCAUUCCUGUUUUCAACUGACCAAAAGGAGCCCCAUAGAGAGUAAGCUUUAGAAUUGUUUACUUACUUGCAAAAACUUGGUCCUAAUCCGGGAAGAUGAUCACGAAGAUCUUUGACGUGUAGACCAAAGGCUAAUCCUUUUUUUUCUUUGAUUCUUUUGACGGUACGGAUAGUGCUAUUCCUAUUCGGUUACACAGGGCUUGCUUGACUCUUUCUUUUCUUUCUAGCACUUAUAGUGAUUUGUCGUCGUCUGAAACUUUCAAGUCUUGAUGCUUUCCCCAGCCUUCUUUCAUUCCGGUCAAAGUUGGAUUAUCGGUUAAGGUCGAAGAAAGCCCUUUCGGUGCCCCCUUAAGAGAGAGAAAGGACUGACGGCCCACUUGUCGCAUAGGAAAGAAGAAACUUGUCAUCAAUGCCGUCGAAAUCGAUCGAGUAUUUCGGAAUCUACAGAAAAAACAAAGUGAACGGUCCGUGCGUCGAGUGUAGUACCCGUUACUAUCUUCCUCUAUCUAUACCGUAAUCGGGCUUAGGCGAAAUGAGGCUUGACUAUGGACCGAGAUCCGUUUCAUCUAUCCCCUGCUUUCUUCUCUCUUUCGGUCAGAGCAUGGUCUUACCAGUCGGCUAUGUAACGGGAGUGAGCCAUACGGGUGCUACCUAGCUGAAAGUCAUCAUGUGAGGUAUACUUUCACCGAUCAAUCUACAGAGAGUGCCUCGAUCCAUCAUUAUGUAAGGGAGCCAGCCAAACCAAAAAAAAGGAGUAAGCGCUCAAAGGAGCAAAAAAGAGUAAGCAUAGAGGGAAUGACUAGUCGAAUGCCAAAAGAAUCAAGCUAAGGCCAGGCAAUCAAAGUCAAGCGAGUCAGGUGCAUCAAUAAAAAAAAUCCGUUUUAGUUCCCACCCCAAAAAAGUAAGCUUACUGUUAAUUACUAUCCUUUGGAUAGUCGAGCCCAGCGAGGAAAGAUGCAGCGACUAAGCGAACAAGGCCAGAAUAGUAAGCAAAGAUGCGAAAAUCCCCGCUUUGGACCAGAAAUAGUGGUAACCCCAUCGGCGGUAAAAGUAGGACAGACCCAUUUUCGUGGGUCAACAAGACAAAAAUAGGCUCUCAUUGACUAGCAAAGGGUUCAGAAAGCACAGUGGUCUCAACAAGAGGAUAAGAGGCGGGUGUAGUUCAGUCUGGACUUGGUACGUGAUGCAAACUACAAAUGUGAUCAAGAAAGGUCUCCCUUGCUACCCUAACAAGUAGCUCAAGAUCUGGAGAAGUGAGAGCCAUAGGUUUUAUAAGUAGCUCUUCCGUCACAUGUAACCACCAAAGAGAGAAUCCAAUCAAUAAGCAAGUUAUGAGAACAAAUCGAAUAUCCCUAAGAUAUGCAUGAAGAAGAGCAUCGGCUAAGCCAAAUGCUUUGAUUCUGGAUGUCCUUCUCCCCGAAUCUGCCAAUCCUAUCUUUCGAUCUGGAGAUCGAACUAAAUAGGAAUCUUUCCCUACUUUUGGUAUCUUGAAGGGUAUUCUAUUAUGAUCUGCAGUAGUAGGUACCCAUGGUCUCAAACAAUAUGCAGCUGACCAGCCUCCGGUAGAAUGACAUAGAAUCUUUUUUCCGCUAGGCACUCCUUGCAUCUUCUGUUGAAGUUUCAUCUUAUGGGAAGGAUGAGAGAGCUGCUGCCAGAUUCGUUCCCGCUCCUGUGGAAUCUGUAGUGCUUCCUGCUUUAUCAUUAGCGGAUGCGGCAUUACUUUGACCCAAACGGCUUGUUGUCUAUUAGUAAAACCUUGAUUAAAAGAUCCAUUCUUAUUUCGAACUCUCGGACUAGUGGAUUUGAACUGGGAGAAAAGUGGUAACAUUUUCUUCAAGAGGAUGAUUUGGAGAAAUUCAAAGGAGAAGUUGUUUAUCGAGUGAAUAGGUGCCCUUCCACUCCCGAAUUCAUUCUUCCUAUUGGAGUUCUUUGCGGAGAAGCUCUUCCUUUCCGGAGCAACUUUCCCGAGGACCAAUUGAGAAAGGCGGCUUCCUUGCUUCUUCGUAUACAAUGACGAAUCCGCUUUCUUAUUCUACGAUCUAUUCUGAUAGAGCAUAGUCUUCAGUUAAUCGGAGAACCGGAAUCCAUUCUUCAGAGUAAGAGCGGCACAACCACUGACAGUGCUAACUACCGUCCUUCCCUUGCCCAACUUCUAAUUGUUUCACGAACUGCAUCUAACUUUGAAAGAUGCUGCUAUAUAUUAGAUAUUACCCGCUAUGGCCUUUAAUGAUGCAAGCUGUAAUUAAAAUCUUUUUCACUCGAGCUACCUAGCUUUGAUUUGAACUCUUCCCACCUUAGAGCUGUCUCAAUCCCACCCUCCGAAGUUGAAUGGAAAGACCCGCAUACAGCACGAACAUAGGCCUCGUAAGCUUUAAGUGUUACCGAGAUCCGUCUAUCCCAAAUAGCCCUCUCUUUCUUGCUUACUGACUUUGGUAUUAAUUCGUCUAAGAUUGAUUUCAGGUGGUGUUGUGGAAUUGGGUUGCUUACAGAGUGAUAGCCAUGGGGUUCUAUCUUAGAUAGCCUGUUUCCUUUAUUAUACGAAAUUAAGGUUUCCCCUUCUUUGACAUCCAUGUAAUUAGGUAGGGUUUUUUUCAUUUUGUUAAUAUGGAUUAGCUUGUUUAUGAGUUCGAGUGGAGAAUGGAGGCCCUUAAAGACACCGCUAUAGAUUUGGGGGAGAUGUAGGGAAUAAGUAGCAGUUGUAAUAAAGUUGUCGUGGACUGUGUAGACAGGCGCAUGGAGAUUGAUAGCCUCGCUUGAAGUGUAGGACAAAAAUCCACUGAAAAUACAUACAUGUUAGUUAGUACCUCAAGGGCCGGACAGAAAAGGAAGUCGUAGACACUUUCUUUCAAUUAAUAUCUAUUGCCCACCGUCCACUUCUAUGCAAAAAAAAGGCCUUUACCUUCUUUAUAAGCCAACUAUCAAUUGUAUAAUUGGUCUUCGAUCUACCGCUUUCAAGCUCAAGUCGUUCUACGAUCAAAAGCCAGUCGUAAACUCUUUUUGCAAGCUCAGUCUUUUCCAAAUCAAGAUCUCUGUCUGUCUUCGUUCUCGCAAGCUCAGUCACCAGACAACAAACUUCGUUCUCGAAAGCGCUCAGUCUCAAGCUCAAGCUAAGCUGUGGUCUAAUCUCUCUGUCCUUCCGUCCCCCCUAUUAGCUAGUUGUCCCGUCCGUCGUCCAAUCCCUCCCUUCGUUCCUAUAGUCCAUUAGAGUAAUGGGUCUAAAAUCCCGAAGUCCCUGAGAGCCUUAUUUGAUUUACCGGAAUGCGGUUUAGAAUCCGUCCCGUCCGUUCUGUCCUCUACUAGUCUCCUCAAAUAGCAAACGUCCGCUGAGAUCGAGAUGUCCCUUAAUUUAGUCGGUACGGUAAUAACGAGAGUAUAUCCCGGAGUUCCGUACCCUUAUAGUACACUAGGCUUGUGGUCUAGACUCCUUCCCUCACUUCGUUCAUGAUAGUCCAUUAGUAGUCCCUACCUCCCUUAGAUGCGUAUUAGUGAGGCUCGCUACAAUGCCUCUAUCUCCUAUUGUAGGCCGAUAGGUCCGCUAUAGCCUAUCCGCCCACAGAGGUACCCAAACUCGUCGCCCUCUCUAGGGCAACCUCUGCCUGCCUCCUAAAAUGAGCUGUACCGAGAGAGAGGAAUAGCCUCUUUCGAGUUCCCCGUGCUACGGCUGCUGCUACAGCAUCAUAUUUCAUGAUCAUAUUCUCUGAGCCGCACCUGGCAUCUCAGUUGUUGUUGUUAUCAACCGUGGUAAAUCAUUGAAUACAUUAACAACCAUUAGUGAAUUCCCAAAGCAAUCCUAAUCCCUUGCUGAUGUGAUGUGUUUUACAUCGCACCGACGCCAUUGUGUUUGUGUGAAGCUCAAGAGUCAACAAAUGCAGGAAUAGCUCCUCUGAUGACUCAAGCAGAGUUGCUUUCUGAUUCCCUGGCCUAGGUAAGGGUCUAUCGCUGUCUAUAUAGGAAUUCUACUUCCUGUUUGAGUCGUAAUAGCUCCUGUCCUGGGCUUUUUAGAUAGUUCACUCUGCUUCGGGCCGGCUUUCGAGUUGAAACUCCGCUCCUCGGCUUAAGAGCUUUAAUAGCUCCUCUUCGGAGGUUUCUGGCUUUUUUCUAGGUUUUGAGGUGAGGAACCCUCGCGUUAGGCUUUCGAGUUUCCCUGUUCGAGAGAGCUCCUUGGCCUGGGCUCUCGAAGCUUAUAAGCUUGUGGUAUAGUUCGUACUCACAUUAAGCUGUGGUCUCCGUCUCAGUCUCGUGCCUUCAUUCCGUCGGUAUAGGUAUACAGUAAAAUACCUGCCUCGAAGUCCCGUCAGUUGAGUGCCGUCAGUCAGUGUUCUCAAAUCCCAGAUCCCCAUAGUCUCCAGCGAGUGGAGGACGAAAGAAAGACGUUUCCGCUUUUCUGCCAAAAGAGCUCGUGUAGUUCUCAGAAUACACCUACUUGCAGGCCUUUUUGCUAAGUAGUUCUUUUUUUUACCAACAGCGCUCGCUGACUGAGUCCCAGGGGCCAGCCCGUCCCUAAAACUGCUGCUCGCUUCUUUAGAUUAGUACUCCCAUAGCUAGGGGCAAACAACCUUCCACCCCAUACUGAUGCGAUUUCCCACUGCGCAUCUCUCGACCAGCUCGUUCUAGCGCAGCGAACACUGACUUUGCCUUGAGGAGAAAUCCUGUUCCCGGAGUUGUUCAAGCUACUGGAGUGGUAUUUCACUUCAACGUCACCCGAGAGCGUCGAAAGCCAUGGAAGGCCUUAAUCCUGCCUGAUUGGUAGUACUCAUAAGGUUUGGUUCCAGGCAAAGAUUAAGUAGUUCAAUCCCCUAUCUCAUACCGAAAAACGUGUAAGAUGAUGGGGCGAAAAACAUAAUAUUGACGGGGGCCCGCCUCGCCACUCCCCCGUCCCAUGGCCGAAAGCCUUUUGAAGUUUUUUUAAUGCUUCGACCACGGCCUUCUCUUCUCGAUUGAAAAAGAACAACCGAGGUCUUGGUGUAUUGGAUCCGCUCUUCUUUCCGCAUGAACACAUGAAUUAGAUUCGAUUCCUCUUCCUUAUUCUUUACAAAUAGAACCCCCCACCCGAACCUUUCUUAAGACUACCAAGCCCUCUCGAAUUAGUUCUACGAUAGAAGCUUUCAACGUACACCCGGGGACAAAUCUUUCACUCACUGAGAAGUGAAAACCUGUGACUAUAUCGUCCUGAAGACGGAUGCGACGGGAAGAAGUGGCAUUUAGAAGUGUUGCUGACUUUACAUUUAGGUUUCGGCAUAACAAAGCUUGCACUGUCUUUUCGCACUUAGGCGCACAGCGUGCCGUUGGUAAUGAUUCUACUACGGUGCCGCAAAUUCGCAAGCUGAUCCUAAGUAAUCGUUGUUGUUCAUUGGAUUCCGGAGGAAUGACUUCGUUAGGAUUGGAGAAUUGCUGCGAUUCUUCCUGAAUAGACUCGAUUCUCCCGUCGAGAGUGACUUUGAAAGUCUUACCUAAACUCUUCCGACUGAAUAUGAGAAAGCCUAUAAAACAACGAGCUACUAUCAUUUCUUCAUUAUAGAUUGAGAUCUUCUUCGAACUUGAUGCACAAAUAGAUGGAAUAGCAGCAAAUAGCAUAUUUCUAUCCUGCAUAUCCGUUGAACUCAAUCUCAUUGGGAAACGUUAUCCGUAUCUAUCUUUCCGCAACGGAACGGGAAGUUGUGUAGGACACCCGGCGGCCAAGUCCAAAAAGAAAAGAAAAGAAAGAAGAGAACGAAAGGAGAACUUCACUUUGUAUUUGGUAACUCUCCUGUAGUCUUCUUUAACCUUGAAUGCAAUUUAUGGAUUCGACUGCAAUAGUCCCUCGGACUCGAAAAGUGUUAACGAAAAUGGCUGAUCCAAUAGCAGAUUCCGCAGCUGCCACUGUUAGAACUAAUAAAGCAAAUAAUUGACCCAUCAUAUCAUCCAAAGAAACGGAAAAUACCAAAAAGUUCGAAUUGACAGCUAAUAACAUUGAUUCAAUUGGCAUUGACAUAAUAGGAAUAUUUCGUCUAUUAAGGAGGAUUCCCCGAAUACCUAAAAUAGAGAUGAUCAUAGAAAAUGUGAAAUAUUUGAUAGGAUCCGUUUCGGAAACGUAGAAUGUCAGAGAAAUUCAAAUUAUGUGAGGCUUAGAAAGCGUCAUAGAGUCCAGGGAGAGCUUUUCUUCUUAUUCUUUGUCAGGCUCGUCUUACCUUUUUCUCCUUCUCAAACAACGCGUUUGAUUUCCUUCCUUAUGACUUUGUAUAAGGAAUUCAAUCUUUCUUCCUGAUCAAGAGAGUCCAAGAACUCCAAGGCAUCUUGGAGUCUUUCCUCCGGGGUGAUGGCCGGGGUCCAUCACAUCCUCCAUCACCCGAUUGGUGACGGCCAGAAUUUGGUCCGGCGAAGGACCUGCGAAAAUAGAACCUCAAGACGCCCCACAAUAUUCUGAAUCACCGCGACCAGAACGUCAUUCACUGGAGGCUGAAUCACUUCGUGGUGAGGGACAUUUAGGGGGGCAAGAGGGUUCAUCGGGGUCAGAGUAUGACCCAUUUUCAGAUAAAGAAUCGGACUUAACAAGACAAGAGCUCCUAAUAUUAUUAUGGAAAGUUUCUUUUUCUUCUUCAUCUUACCAAAACCUGAUUUGGAUAGAGUAACGGGAGAAAUCCGCUUUACUAAACUCAAAAAGAUUCGAAUUUCUGGAUCCUCCUUUUGUUGUCAUGGCCGUUUUGACUUAGAAUGAGCACUGUGAACUAUCCGCUUCAAAAGGAUAGUUGGAUUGAACUCCAUUUUUGCUUGAAUUACUAUACUAUAAGGAAAAGGGCAGAAAAGAGGAACAGCUGGUAGGCUAUGGUAAAGAAGCACUAACGGGGCGCUAACGGUAAGAAAGAGCACCAUGGGACCGGGGAGCAGGUCGCGCUCCCGCCUAAGGUAGAGGAAGAGGUGGAGCUCACCCGCUCAUGCUCUUCAUGCCUUGGACCGCGAGCUGAGACCGUCCGUGCAUCGUUGAUCUUCGUGGGCGAUGGAAUCGUGACCGGUAAGGCAGGCCCACCCUGUACGGUCCCGUUUGCUUUAAAUGCAUUCAUCCCAGCCGGCUCGCUACAGCUAGGUGACUUUUUUGAUGAGCGCGAGCCGCCACUCCUCCAGAAGGACACCGAGGUCUUCCAUCUCUUGAGUGCUUUGGGGGAACUCCCAAUCGAGAUCCAGUCCAUCGAAUCCUUAUUUCCGUCCAAUCUCAAUUGUGGAGUCGAUGAAGCUUUGGUAGCCAUGCGAGCGAAGAUGGCGUGGUCUCCGGCAAUAGAGAGUAGGUUCUUAACCGGUGGAUUCUUGUGAUGAAGGGUGGUGGUGAAGCUGGAUAGCAAGGGACUGUCGGAUUCUUACACUGUAAGCUCAUAUGAGACGGGGUCAGGUGUGAGGAAUGCGUAAAAAAGUGGUUGAAGUAGGAUGUGUCUAUGGUGUACACGGGGUAGCUCGAACUCAGCCAUGAUGUCCAGUAAGCGGCCUUCACUGUGGUAGGUGCCGGAGACCCAUGAUCGGGGAGUGUCGAGAGGGGAUAAAGCAGGUAAACAAGAGGGUAAAGCUUUCUCAUUAGGGGACCUAUACUAAUUUACUGGAGUCCAGUCCCUCGGAGGAGUCAUUCUACAGAGGCUCUGGGAUUGAAUUCUAUAGAUGGGGUUCCCGCAGAUAUGAUUCGUAUUUCAUGCAACUAUUUGAAAGAUAAAUAAAGGGGAGUCCAGUUCCGAAGGCUCUCAAGUCGACGCCUUUACCUUAUUUAGGGAGGCGGGGGCUCCACUUGACAGGCCCAAACAAACUUUCACAUUCCAUUCCGAACCUCCAUACUUUCUAUACAAAAAUAGGUCGCUAUCGUAUUCUCUCUCUGACCUGUGCAAUGCUUCCUCACAAUUUAGUCUUCCCUAAGAAUAGCAUGUACCGUUUCAACAAUUCUUUGGUUUGCCAUGCAUUCUCACUAAAGCAAUAGGUCGCCAGGUAGGUCACGAUUUGACUUUUCAUUUCUUUGUAUAAAGCAAAGUUCUUCCUCUUCCGAUCUUGUUCGGGUUUGUAAGUCUUUCUAAAUUCCCGAAGUUGUUGUUACAGCAGAGCUAUGGGAGUCGAACCCAAUCAAUUUAUUGAAGAUCGGGAAGGUCAAAAAAAAUGUACAAAAGCCUUUGGUCGUCUUGAUCAUCGCUUCUUGACUUCAACUUCUCCUUCCUUCUGUAGACUGAACGAGGACAGCGGUAAGGGAAAGUGAAGUCCAGUAUGUAGACACAAUCCUACUUACUGUUAAAGCAUACGAUUUGUUUGCCUUGCUUGGAGACUCGGCCUCAUAUCCUACUGAGCUGCGAGUGAGGCAGCCGAACGAGGAAGGCGAAGACUAUUCUGUAAUGCCUUGCCUUGAGCAGCUAAGGGAAGAUUCCUACUACACUGCCUAUGGCUUACGGUAGUUUCUAUUCCCUUGUUGCCUUCGCCCUCGGAAAUGGCUCCUUUCCUACCUCUUUGACUUUCAGGUACUUUUUCUUAUUCUAUCUUCAGUACUGCCUUCCGGUUCCUGGGUAUAGUAGGAGCCAUGUCUCCCGAGAAAGGCCGUCCCUCCUGUACUCAGUACAUAUGGCUUGCUGCUUCUAGUCAUGAAUUCCUUAUACAGUAGUUUGAGGUCUAACAAGAAGUGUACCGGAGGUCAAGUAAUUGUAUGGCCGUUUAAAUGAGCUAGAUCGAUACUUACUACUACUAUGUCCUCGCGGGCGAGAGAGCAGCUUCUCUUACCUUGCCUCCCCCUGCUUCCUUCAUCCAACCCUCUGUCCUCACUCUCCAAUCUUCCCUUUCCAAGGAAGCAAACGAAGCAAAAGCAGUCAGUAAAGAGCAAGCAAUGAGACAAUCAGACCCCUCUGAUUGGCUUGAUUCCCUCUUCCAAUCACGAGAAGCGGUUGAUCGCCACUGAAAAGCAUUCGGUUCGCUAGAUGGGGAAUCUUUCUGGCUGAUGAUGGUAGAACCCACUCGGAAAACUCAGACAUGGGAGGACGUCCAAAUGACUGACCAGCGCUAGAUGGAUGUUCCCUAGGGUCACGCGCAGAGGAUGCAAAAUCAAAACCUUUUUUUUUGUUUGGAGGGCGUAGUCAUGACUUGUCAAGAGAACGAUGAGAAAGGCAGAGACUCUCCUUUUGGGCGAGGUCUUCCAAACCUUUGACUCAUUCAGUCAAUCCCUUCUUUCUCUGGCUGAAUUGCCCUACUCAAGGUCUCAAACUGGGGGCUUUUCACGGCUCCAAAGUGGAGAAAGCUUGUGUUUUUGUCUGACCGGUCAAGCUCCAUCGAGAUUCUCAUUGACUUUUGAGCUCCCUUUUUCGAAGGGAUCACCUCUCAGAAGAGAUUCCAUUACAUAAUGAGAGAGAGUUGUCAAACGGUAGGGCUCAAAAGAAUCCAUGUGAUUGGUCCACGUCCGUGUUCUCAGUCUCACUUGCUCUAUCUGCUCGUCUUGACUGAUUGGACCCUAAUUUCUUGUCUCUUGUGCCCAGCUUGGUUCACUCUCACUGAUGGGAAACCCCAGAUCUCCAUAGGAAAGCCUGAGCAAAAAGAGGGAAUCCCUGAGAGAAGAAGCACCCUUCCACGAGGGGGAAGUUCUCAAACCCUAAUCCAAUUGGAUUAGGAUAGGCCUUUUCUACUGAAUCUGCCAUAGCCUGUGUUGUCAGUACUCCCUCAGGAUCAAGAUCUGGAUUCGGACUUGAUUGGCAGCUUUCGUGAAGAAAGAGGAGUCUUCUCGUCUCAAAGUCGAAGGAAGAGAAAAGGCUUGAUCAGGGAUCUGAUCGGGUGGGGGCUACUUGAUGAUAGAGGAUCAAGCUGCCUAGAGCGCUUCCUCACCUUGAACCGAAAGGCACUCCCGUCCACUGAAGCGAGAGAGCGUGAAAUGCAUAAUGGGCACUAUGCCUCAAAACAGAGAACUUCGCUUCGACACCCUCUCCCUAACAGGAACAGGAGCCUUCCUCAACAAGCGAACCCAUAUCCAGUUUAUGGUCUAUUUUAAUCCGUCAAAGCAUUGAUGAAUCUUGUGCUCCGCAAACGUCGACCCUCUAAUGGCACUCCUUUGCUUAGGUCCUGUUUCGGGGCUCUUCCUCGCAAUGGACCUUUUUGUCAGCUUUCUAUCUCUCUGUUGAACAUUUCUAUGCCAAUACGCAGUACAUUGACUUACUUUACAAACUUCCUACUGCUGUGUGAACAGAACCCUCUUGGUGAAGCGGAGUACUCAUCCGAAGAGGAAGCUAGGUCAGAGAGAGGGAAGCCCCAUUGUUUCCAACCACCUGGAAGGAAUAGGCAAAAGCAGGCAAAGGGAAGGCAGAGAAUGGCUUGAGUUCCCAACAGUCAUCCUUCUACCUACACCUGAUUUGACUGAGCUUGUCAUCUUGUAGGUCACCAAAAACAAGAGAAGGAAAAGACCUGUGGACAAUCAUACAAUGAGCCUGAUGAUCACUGUGAACUGUGGACUAUAAAGCUUGGAAGCGGUCAGACAGAAAAGCUGGCGGUGCUGGUAGUCAGCUGUCAGGUUAAAAGCAUGUAUGUCAAGGUAUACGAAACCAAAAGAAAGCUGCAUGCAUGGUGACAACAGUCAGAGAUCAGAGCACAAAUAAGGAGUUUGAAUGCAUUUCACAUAAUGGUUCCAUUAUGUUCUUCAAAAUACUGUACACCUCCAGCCUCCCUUUUUUGGGAUUUUCUUUUUGUUUGUCUUUUGUGUUUUUUGGCUAAGGGUGGUUUACUGGGGUCUUGUAGCGGCAUGUGGAUCGGAAAGGAGGGGCUCAUUCGACUCAUCAGUGAUCCCAGGGCCUACCUCAAAGAUGGGAUUGGUGGAUUGGAAAGCUUAGGCAGGAGUCGGACAUUCCAUACCAAUCUGUCUGAUCCGCUACUAGCAGGUGGUCCUCUCCAAUCCAAUUUCUUCAUCGAUAGGUGGGGUUAAUGAAUUCGUAGGUUACUGAUUCGGGUUGUCAAGAGGAAGAAAGCUGGUACGGGUCCCGACCGAGUAGCUGCACCUUGAUGAAAGGAUCAUUUGAGUUCCAAGAAAGAACUACUAACUACGAUUCUUGGUGGGAAGUAUCGAUCCAAAACAAUAGAGCAGUUGUUUUGUGCUGAUAUUGCGUAUUGCGAUUCUCAUGCCUAAUGUAUAAGCCGGAGCCCCUCCUGACAACUCUAUUUGAGUCCGUUCACUCCUCACUCUACUAACGCAGGGUAAGUGAUUAUUGAUAUCCGACUGCCGGUGGGGAGACCGUAGACUGAACUGAAACCGUAACUGCUAACAAAGGGAAGAAGGAAAGAAAGCUCCUAGCUAGAGAGUGAUGCUCCUAGCGUUACAUAGACUUAUGCUCUUAGCUUAGCGCGCUCUAGCCUGAUGCUCUUAGCCCACCUACCUUCUUUCUUGGCUUACCGAGCUCGAGUACACCCGCUGCCUACAUUCAUUCUCUUUGCCAGUUCAGUGCACUUUGAAAGAAGCGACAGAAAAGCAGCCCCUUGGUGUUGAGCACUACUGAAAGAAGCUAUUAAACAAGAGGUUAGGGCUAUGGUGUCACUUUCCCUUUCCCGAGUUUGUUAAUCGAAGACUGGUAACCAACCCUAAUCUGUUAAUCGCUUAGCCGAGACCGGAUCCGUGGACUGAGCUGCUUACCGUUGACUGCUUCUUUGAGGGCUCUUACCCCUAAGCCGAAGCGCUGGACUGCACUCUUUCUUGUAUCAACUGAGGAACUCUUCGUUACAAGUCCACUUGUCCUCUUAUCCCCUUUCAGUCUCUUUGUGAGAGCUAUUCUCCCGUUGCCGACUCGGUGAAUCGAAGAGGAGUAACUUAACUACUCUUUACAGCUUCUUGUGUUGAAAGAGGAACUCCUUGUGACAACUCUUCUUGUUCGCUCCUACGCGUAUGCCGGUAACAAUUCCAUCUUUGGAAAAAUGAAACAAGUUGCCAGAGGGCCAAAGGCCAUCACACAAUUUACCUACCCCACCCACCACCCGGAAGAGAUGAGCGAGGAGCGAUCGAGUAUGCUCUUCCGCGAGAUCUUUCUUUCCUUUCUCAGUUAGGCAGCAAACGAAAGAAAGGCAGUGCAGGUUGGGGAGAGAACGAACGAAAAGGGACAUCACAAGCAGAGAGGGAGGUUUGAUCGGGGAUAGACGGGAAUGGAAUGCUUUCUGUCAGUUACUAGUCCAAUACCAUUCUAUCAGGCAGCAAGGGAAGCAAGGUAAAGCAGCGGAGGUAGGGAGAAAGAGAUUGAGUGGUAGCGAUCCCUCAUUCCAUUCUUCUUUCAUUCUCGGGUAGCAAGGAGCUCAGCGAACGGAUAAACCCCAGAAGUAAGGGACUCCCUUACCUUCCCACCCGCAUUCCUUGCCUGUUCUAGCAUCCCUUAGCGUUAAUCCAGCAGCGAAGGCAGAGCCCGAUAGUCCAGUAGCCAUUGAUCUUGUCGAUCCACCCGCUAAGCUAAUAAAUGCAUAAUAAGAGAGUAGGAGGUCGGCUCCUGCCCCGGAAGGAGGUGCACACCCAUGACGGAACAUAUGCUAAGGCCUUUGGUGGGUAAAGAGAGAAGUCAAUGGAGAACUCAAAAAUCCAAUGACUUUUUGAUUUGUUCGUACCAUUCUGUCAUCGAUCACUGCUGGAUCGGUUGGUGAGUCACCCAAAAGCAUCGAGAAAGGUCCAGCAUAUCUUUUUAUAUGAUCAGCGGUCUCAUUGUUGCUAUGCCCUGCAUCGUGUUCGUGUGUGUUUAUUGAGCUUUCUUCACUUCAGCGCCAUGCGCUUUGCUUCGCUUUAUAGAAGAGAGAGACCGUUGGGGCUUAUUGAAAGGGGAGUGAAAAAGCAAGCGCAAGCGAUAGAUAGGAUAGUCCCUCGCGCGUUCGCGCGAACUACUAGAAAAUGGUGAGAUCAUGAGAUUCUUAGUGAAAGAAGGACCAACGACGAUCCUAUCCUAAAGGAGAAGGAGCUUUCAUUGAAGUAGGGCUUCUUUGAAGAUUGAGGAAAAAAUAGGACAAUUAUGCCAUUAGGAAGAAGUCUUCUACAGAGGGAAAGCCUGUUACGAGUAAGUGGAGAGGAAAGAUCUCCAGAGAUUCCUAUCUCAUUCCAUUCCAGUGGCUCGACCAGUAACCAAUGGCGAAAACUAAAAAAUCCAUGGUUUCCCGGUAGAACCCCAUUUCGACCAAGUUCCGGAACCGGAAAAAAGAAGCGGUUUUUCGCACAGCUUGCUCAUAGUGCAGGUCCCACUUUUAUAUCGUAUUUGGUCGAAGAAGCAUCGGACAGGUUGGAGUUCCUACCUUCUUGGGACUCCAUGGACCAAGAUCUGCUUUCAUUAUAUGGGCAAUACCUACUUUAGUAGAUCAUAUGGAUGUAGAAAAAGCUUCUUAUUUUGAGGAAUUGGAAACAUCUCUUUUCCAUUUCCAUUUACCCAGUUCAUAUCUUUGUUUCGUGUGUUCCCGGGAGGAAUUCGAUCUCUUCAAUCUCGGGAUACCACCUAAAUAACUGCGGCCAAAAAGUCAAAUAGGUCGGGAAGAAAGAGUCUGAGGUUGGGUCGGACGACAUACAUCUUGGUUGGUUCCACCACCAACUUUCUUUAUGUGAGUGAUUUUAACCCUUAGAUUCUCCAAAAACAUCUUUAGCCACUCUUUUAAUGCAAUUGGCCAUCUUAUACCACAUCACAGAGGUUUCUUCCUAUAAAUUCCAUUUCCCUUCCUCGUUAUAAAGAGAAAGUCAUUUGGCAUACCUGCAUGGAUUAGAUGUCCAGAUAAACCCCCCGACCUGGGAAGUCUUUCGACCUCACUCACUUGAUCAGCAAAUGGGAAGCUUGAAAAAGCGGCUUUUCGCUCCUCUCCUUACAGUCGAGUGGCUUUCGCUCCUUCUUCCGUAAAAUAAAGCAAAACGGCUGCUGCAACUACAGGUGAAAGUGGCACGGGUCUUGUAUGAUGGAGAAAAAAUGACCAGAAUCAAAAGAUAGACCAAAUUCAAUGGAGGAUGGGGAGUAUGGCUGAGAUUCCAAAUCUUAAGAGAUUGAAAGAGUGUAGGGGACAUAUUCUACAUCUUAAUAGCCCCGUGCUUUAUUAGCGCAGUGUUAGAGAAGGGAGGACCGAACAAUAUGACAGGGCAAGAGCUCCGCUUAGCUUAGUUAGGAAGGCAAUAUUUCGCGUGCUAAGGCGCGCGUAAGCAUCAAAGCCCAUAGCGCGAUAGGAAAGAAUCUUAGUCUGGGCGGCGGGGAAGAUAGUUCAUAUGAUUUUUCCAAAGAAUGAUUCUCCAAUCGUACAUAAUACAAUACAAAACCGAUUUUUCGACGCGGGAAGACGGUGGAGAAAUAAUAACAGCAGGCAUUGAGAGGACACAUGCUAAAUGGUCUACCUACUUCGUUACAAUGGUUCCUGAUGAGAACUACCUAGAUGCUGCAUCAAGGUUGGUUGUUAGGGAUGGGGUAGAAAUUAAGUUUACGUUUCAACUGGAUCAGUUCGCCCGCAGGGACGAAUGAAGGAACGCUUUUCUUCGGAGAGAGAAAUCCUGUUCCCUUCACCGCUCCGUGGGCUUCUGGGUAAACUGAUGGUGGGUAUCAAUAGAUCUCUUUUCCACCUAGGUUAAAGGGGUAUGCCGCUAUAUAUGCUACACCGAAGUAUGCUCCUAGGUAAGCUACUGGCUCUGUAUCUACCUCUGUCUGCUGGUGCUUAUUUUGAUAAGCUGCAGGAUCAACGACUGGAUCAGCUGGAACUACAAAAGGCUAUGGCUAUGGAACUGAAAUGGCAGGAGCUUCUUAAAAGAGAAGAAGCGAGUGAAUCGAUUCAUGACUCCAGGGAAUGCAUCUAUCUCCAUAGUGGACAUCCCCUCCACCUCUCAAGCACUGGUGCAUAAAAGAAGUCGGAUCUCUAAAGCAAUUGUUAGAAAUUAGUCCACCCACCGAUUUGCAGCUUUAGGGACCCACCCGAUGGAAUCAUACGAGCCAGGAAGGUUCACAUUGCCGGAAACGAGGCUUUUCUUUACCCUGCUUUUCCCAUGUCUCCCGAACCCAAUCGAGAUGAAAGCUUAUAUAUAACCCGGGAAGGGAGAUAGAUAAAAAGUAACAAAGAAUCGGCGGCCGUGGAACUGGCUUGCUUCUUCGACGAGAAUCCAAGUAAAGUGAUCUUUCUCUGUUUACGACUCCGGUCUUGGUGGUAGGUCGCUAAGAAGCUAUCUGGACACCUAAAUCUGUCAACCAAAAACUCCUAUGAUAUGGGUCAUUCCCGUGCAGCUUCUCUUUCCAUAACUCGAAUUACAUGGGAUUAUGGCUUUUCCGAACGAAUCCUCUUCUAGUACGGCAGUCCCGCUAACGUUCUUUCCUAUAAGGUUGGACGGGCGAUUCCACUCAUAGACAACGAGUAGUGGAGGUUAACCUUCCUUUUUCGAAUGGUUUCCCUUUCUCUUCCUUCGAGACCACUUCAAUGUCUAUAGUAAGGGUAGUUGACUAUAUUAGUUAGAUAUCCGAAUUAGGAGUAGGUGGGCAGUGGAGGGUUCUUCGGUCUUCCUUGCCUGACACUGACCCCAAUUACGCAUACUACUGUCAAAGGCAGCCAUACAACUUCGUCUUGGUCUUCUUUUUCCACGCGGAAGUAAAUAUCCAAUCAAUAUACGGAAAUGGUAUUCCCUGAUGGUAGGAAAUAGUAUUCAACGGAUCUUAAAACGAAUAUAGGAGGUGCCUCGAUCUGGAGCGGGUCUUUGAUUGCUAUUAUGCUAUUAUGCGGAUGACUGAAGCCCCUUAUGACCUUUACUUCCAAGCACGGCCCCUUCCCUAUAUCCAUAUCAGAACUCAGGGGAGGGAGAAGACGGAUGAUUGGAACAUCCUUCAGUGCCCGGUCCACCAUUAAGGAGGAGUGGAUCUGUGUCUAGAAUAGAAUCCCGAGUCUAGUUACGUGUAAGAAUUCGUAUACUACAGAAAAAAAAUGCAUUGCAUACCUUAACCCUGGGCAUUCCCGGAACGUCUGUCAUCGAUCGAACUCCAACAAUCCGUAAUCUAGCUCUGGACGAGGAGGAGCGGACAACAAGGAGAAAAGCGUAAAAAGCUCAAGCUCAUAAACCGGUAAGAGAGCGGAAUCAUGAAUUGGACAGCACAGCCUUGAAUAGUCUUCGAGGUUAAUAUCUCUUCCUCUAGGCAUCUUCCUUUACCUGACGAAGGUUCCAUGGAUUCUAUCUAGGACAAGUCGGUUAGCGCUCCCCUCCCCAAGCCUGGACCGAAAUUGGAAGUUGCAGGAGUAGCAGAUAGAAAGGCUUCAUCCUUAUUUACCUCUUUGUCAUUGGGAUACUUAGAUAGGGUUCAACAAAAGCACUUAGCUAUAUGGGAAUACCUUCUUUCCGGCGCUAUAUAAUAUAAUGUCGUUUCCCGGCCAGUCAUGAGAUUCUUAUUCUUAAUAUUUUUCAUUAUCGAAAAAAGUAAGCAGCCGGUUACUCCCCAGGUAUGCUCCCUAGUUAAGUAUUCACCUCGGUAGUCUAUAAGUCCCGGUAAGGGAUAAAACCUUGCGGUCCUAAGGCUUUCCCUAGAGUUUGAUUUUUAUAGGCCAAGACCCAAGAAGGAGAAUUCCCUUGGCGAGGAAAAGAGCUGUACACGAAAAAAAGGCCAUUUAUACCAUAAAGUAAAGUGUUAAGACCAGGCUUGAGAAGAAUGGCACAUAAAACUAUCCUUUAGAAAGCCAGUUGGGCCCCUCUCUCUUAUACCACAAGGAGUGCUUCGAAGCUCUACAACAGCAAUCAUCUCUUUUUGUUUGUAUGGUAUGGAUUUUGGGCUAACAAGAAAAGCAAGGGCCUUGGAAAGGAGAUAGGACCUCGUUUGGUCUGGUGGGUUCCCCUCCUUUUAUAAAGAUUCCCAUGUUUCCAGGUGACGAAAGGAAAUUAGGUAUGAACGCUAGGCACAGGCACGUAACUGCUCGCAUCGGAUUGCUUUCGUACUUGCAAUGAAAAACCCGUUAGCAAGGGGUAAGGGGGUCAAGGCGACAUAACUAAAACCUUGAUGGGUAUAGGGCACAACAGUAGCUUUCUAGGAGUUUUAGAGAGAACUCAGAAAGCGAAAGCACAAAGGCUCCGGCUGAGAUCGCCGGAAAGAGGGAUAAUAAACGCAAGAAUAGGUUAAUGAAAGAAAUGAAUCCCUUGUCCUGAAGGUCCUCCUAGUUAGAGGUAUCUCCAUCGGCGAACUCUCUACCUGGUCCUCUUCUCGUUAGUAAGGGUUUAGGGAAGGACGAGUCUACGAUAACCCAUUGGUCCCAUUGGACUCUUAGACAACGAGGCGCUUUUUGCCCUAAAUAGGGGGAAUCCCGUCCUUUGGCCCUCUGUCACAACCCAUGUCUAGCUCUUGGAUUCUUAUCUUUCUUAUUAUUCCAUCGUGUGAUUCUCACUGCUUUCUCCCUUGUUUUGAUUGGUGUCUAUGGAUCCAGCCUCUUUCCUCGACCUCUUGACCAAGGUGGGAUCGAGCGUCCAUGGGUUGGGGUCUUGUUGUAGGUCCCAAGGGCAGGACCCUUAAUAUUCACUUUCUUCAGGGUGGGUUUUCUACCUAUCCCCAUCGCUUUCUUUGAUUGUUGGGUUAGUAGGGAAUGAUAAUCCACUGGUAAAAAGAAAAGCAUGCCUCUCUCAUCGGAUUAGCUUGGCUACCCGGCUCUAGUAAGACUUCUAAGACUUCUUCCCAAUGAUUUUCUCUUUCUGUUGGGCGCUUACAUCAAUCAGUCGAUACUAAGCCAAGAGCUUUUCAAGGAGUGCAUUCUGGGAAUCAAGUUGCUUCAGUCAGACCAAUGACCGCCGCCUAUCAUUUUUAGGAGAACCCGGGUUCUAAAAUGGAGUCCCAGAGCUCUUAUUCCAAGAACUGGUGAUGGUGAUAUUCCCUUAACUGCAGAUUCAAUAGCACCGGUUAGAAACCCAAAAACAAGAGGAAAGAGAGCACCGUCUACUCAUACUGUCACACGGCAACGAGAGAAGUAAGAGCGGAUAGGCAUUCAGUUAGCUUUCAAAGAGACUCGUAGUUAGAAAGAAGAUGCUUCCUCAACCUGUAAUGAAAAAAGGUUCACCCUAAGGACCGACGGAACGGUAAGAUGAGGAGCCGAGUGAGGUGCCAGCCCUACUAAUUAGUACACGUCAAGGGAGAGGGAGGAGUUCAUUCAUCCUUUCACAAGGGGAUUCGCAAAGCAGAAGUCAUUAACCCGAAGAGUGAAGUUGAUAACAUCUACAACCGAUUCUUGGAUCCAUUGCCUUCUUUUGUUCGUGAAUCUCCUCGUCCUCCUAUGCCUUAGAGAGGGUCCCCAAUCCUAGCCUUCCCCUUAGACUUUCGAUCUUCCCUUUUUUGAAUGGGCCAAGGUGGGGGAAAGAAAGAAUCAACCACCCAACCUAGUCAAUCAACUGGGGGAGUAAACAAGCCACUGAAAGUCCUAGACCUAUUCCUUCUGGGCUAGAGAGAGGGUCCAUCUAUCGAAUCACUCUAAACAACAAAAGAAGGAAAGUAGAAUAAGGCCCCAUCGGUAUCUCUUCUAAAGGGGAUGGGCUGCCUUAGAGCGAUCCCAAACCAACCUCCCAAUAAACAAUAGAUUGCUUCCCUUGGGCCCUGCAUGCCCGCAAUGGGACAGAAACUUAACAAGGCCAUCCAUCUAGGUCUUUGGGAAAAAGAGGUCAAUGAGUCGAGACCUCAAGACGUGAUCCUCAAUAAGUUGAUCCCUCAGAAAGAGGGUUUAUUAACGGUCCAGUUUCUGCGGGCGCCCAGGUCCAGAGGAGUUAAUUCACUAUUAAAGAGUCCAGUCUCAUGGGGUUGUGAGUUCUUAGGAUGGGUUUCUUAGACCAAGGGUUCAUCGAUUCCAAGAUCCGGGUUUCCCCAUAGAGAGUAAUGAAAGCUUUGAACCAGCGAGUUACGAGGCGACAGCAAAAGACCUUCGGUUCCACCCCUCCCGGUACGCCGGUACGGGAGGCGAAUAGGAGAGCUAGCAAGGCAGACCCUGCUGUAUCAUCUAAUCUCUUUCAAUGUCUCCAAGUCCUCUUUCCGAUCCAAUUGGUCCGACCAAGAAGCCUAUUUAAUAGAUUGUCUAUUGCUUGCCCUGCAACUGGGUCAAGUGCUUUUCAUUUGUUUGCCUCCGACACUAAAGGGAUGCCCCCUGGUCCUGCCCUUCGACUAAGAAGCAGAGGCAUACUCCCCCGAAAGUGGACUCCACCAAGAAAGUCUGUACCACUCAAGGAGUACUUUGCAACGCCCGAAGGAGCAGCAACCGAACCUGGGGAAUGAAUGCACUCCAAGUCCUUGGACUCUUGAACAGAUUCAUUGCCUUGCUACGCACCUAUAUUAAGAUGUAGGGUAUGACUACGAAAAGAUGAAGAAGUCGAGCUAGAAGACAAAUUCCCGCUUUUUUUCCACGCCAGGGGAGAUGCCAUUGAAGAAAAAAGAGUCACUCCGUUUUUCCCGUCGUUCAAGGGGUCUGUGCGAGGGAGAGGCGAUGUGCGAUGGCGAGCUGUUGUUCUAAGAGGUGGAGUAGCUUUCUUUCCGAUCCGUUUCGAUGUCACACCAUGCUAGCUCUACUGCUUUCGGAUUUCGUACCUUUUUCCUCCCGGUGGAAUGAAGUACUUCUACACUCUCCUUCUGCUUUUUGAAUGCCCAUCCUUUUAGUCAUAAACCCUUCCUGGGGACUCCUCGCAUGCACUAUCCAAUUAGGCCCGCUCUCUCAGGAAAAUCGCUCUCUGAACGACUCCUGACUCGACUACUAAUUAAAUAAAUGUGUUGAUGUCAGGGGGUACAACCUCCCGAACCCCCCGGAUGGCACUGUCCGCUACGAAUCGUCCGUGCGUGGAAAUUAGCCCGCCUCAAAAAAUUAGAACAUAACAUUCUAACAUAACUAUAAGAGUACAGCAAAGCAGCAAGCUUAAGGCGACAAGUCUCGGGCUUUCCUCUUGCAAUUAGUAUAGGUCUUCUUUACCUAAUUUCUCCAAACCCGGCAAUCUCUGAGAUACAAAGCUAUAUGGAUUGAAGACCAGGUUAGUUCACUGAUUUCGGGCAUCAUCUUACGUCAUUCGUUAAAGCGCUUUCUAUAAGCCUUUAAUUUAAGAAUUUAAGGACGUUUUAAAGAAGAGAAAAAGUUCCAUUCCACAUUUCCUGAUUCUUGAUAGGAGGAGAAAGAGAGUAUUUCCCGGUAGCAAAGCAAGGCAAAAUUCUAUAUUCUUUUUAUAAGAAUGAAUUCCUCUGCGGUCGUGAAAGGAGAUAAUUUUUUUUUAUCAGAGAUAUGAUUUUAUGCACAGGAUUUGUAAUAGAAACCAAAUAAGCUCUUUUUGCGAUUCCCCGACAUCGGAGACUAGAUAAAUCCAAUCAUUAUUAGGUAAGGUAAGAAGUAAGUAUAGGUACUGACUUUUUUUUCUGAAGGAAUAGGAGAUGUGCCCCAUAAAGAAAGAGCGAGCGCUCACUACUAUUUAUUAACUAUUUCAAACUUUUUGAUCUUAUUUGUCUUCAACUUCUCUGACUAAAAACUCAACUGUUAAGCUAUCUAUCGGGGGCCUAUUUCAGCGUCACAACUUCCAACCAGCACCUUGGGAGCUUUUUUUGAGGGUUUCUUUCCCUCGAGUACCCACCCUUCUUGGUAGAGUUACGACUGCUGCUCCCCACCUUUUUCUUCUGCAUCACGAUAUCAUGGCGGACUUGCUACUGGUGAGAAAGGCCUGCUUUAGAGUUUUUGGGAUUGAAUUGUGGUUCCAGUUUCCUUACAUUCAUUUCUAGGCGAUGACAGAUUGGAUUACUGAUGGGUCUGCUGGAAAGGAUGAUAGCAUUUACUCGCUGGAAGGCAAUGCGCCAAAAAGAACAUAGGGCAAGGGUCCCAUCUACGAUUCCCGAGAGCCGGUACCGAACUAUCCGAACCCAGAAACCCUCGCUACAAGCCUUCGACCACUUACACCAAUCGUAGGAAUUAGAAAGAAUGCUUCACAAAGGCAUACGGAAGAGAGAAACAUAGGAAGAAAUUCCGCCCUUGGGUCUAUUCAAGAAAGCGCUACGGGAAGAGUGUGAAAAGAAAAGCCAAUAAGACCUGCAGCCAUAAGGAAAGGAAAGCACUCACUGUAAUUCAAAAUUGAUGUACAGACUACGCGGAGGCAACUAAGGGUCGUGUACCCAAGGUCAGAUUAAGAGAUCCGUCUAUCGAGUCAGAAAAGACCUUUACCCAACCAAUCGCUCGCUGUGCCUACGUCUCUCUCCCUCAGGACUCAAGGCCAGGACUAAACCGACCUAAUCUCCCAAUCCUUGGAAGUUUGAUAGGUUUCACGGGGUACACUCGUCUCUGCCUAUCGGAUGCCCCAAUCUCGGAGCAUCUUUCUGGUAGGGAUCGGGCAAUCGGAUCAAGAUUUUCCUAUCUUCCAUCUCUCCCUAGAUUAGUCGCUUAACCCAGCUUGACUCCUGUUUACAGGCUUUCCCGGCUACAGUACAGAUUGUGCCAAAGACAGCUCGCUCCUGCUCAAAAAUCACACAAUAAGCCAAGGCAGUUCUAAUCUAAUCUAGAGAGUGGAUCAACUACUUCCGUUCUGCGCUCGGGUAAGGCCAGGCAGAAACUCCUUUAUAAGGCGGCUUAGCUUUAGCUGCGGGUGCGUAUGAAAAAAGUAGGGAUGAAAGCCCAUUUCCGUACCAUUCAUUCGUAGAAGGGGCAUAGCUUCAUUCUAUAAGUUUGACUAUAAGCGGGCUACCUGACAUUCAAGGGGAAGACUCAAGGUAAAGGCUUAGUGCCAAAGAACCUACUCUUUCAAAACAAAUUCUCAUCUCAGGAAGACAGAUCGAACUCUUACAGAUAGAACAGAUAGAUUGGUAUUGGUGUAGGCUCUAAGCCAAGCCUAUCUCGUGUGCUAUAAAAUACACAACGUACUUUCCCAAGCCUUUCUCAAGCUAUUAUGUCUAGUCCCAGGUACAAAGAGGUGUAUAUAUAGCGUUCUCCUUCCUGCCUCGACCCUUUCGGCCAAGAGGAAAUCCGGAGCGACAAAAGCGAUUCCGGUCUCCCCACCAUUUUACAGGUAUAAGGCACGCCAUUCGGUCCUUUCUAAAGGAGUAGUAGUGGUGGCUAUCUCCCUAUGAAGUCUGGGAUCUCUUCCAACUGAAUGUAAAUAGUUGAUCAGAUUCGUGAACCCUGUUGAGUCCACUGUACUCACUGGAAGAUUCGAAAUGCCAACCCUAGCUCGACUCGAUCGAUGAGUGAGACUUCCAAGGUCUCGAUCUUGGGAAUCAUAGUGAGAGUGCUUUCGUGCUUGAGCUUGAGAGCUGGUAGUUCACUCUACCGUGUAAUUAGUAACUAGUUGAAAGGCCAACCAGUUAUCGAUGUGGUAAGAUGUCUUAUAUAGCGAAAUACCUUCCCCGAAUUCCUAUUUGUUUGAAAAUAGUACCUUAAGUUCGAGAGUCUGGGAAUGCAGCUCUCUUUCCGCUCUGACGGAACCUUUGAAAGAGGAGUUUUAGCUUUCCCAAGUAUCUUUCUCAACUCUCUCGUAAUACGCCCAGCUAUGAAGAAAAAGAAGACCUCUUUCUAAAGGAGAAGUGAACGAGUUACUUCCUGUUUUUGUUAUUAGCUAGGGGCUUGGGUUACUAGAGAUUUUGGGUACUAAACUCCCUUUUGAGAACCAAGCAUCUCUUGAAGCCAAUUACUGGGGCCAACUACAAGCAAAGCUGUCUAGCUCUUUCUGAUCGUGAUAGCAGAAAAGGUGCACUUUAUAGCCACUACUCUACUUUAGAAAGAAAGGAUCCACGGGAAGAUAUUCUUGUUCGGAUUGCUAGCUUAGCCGCCCUUUUGGAUACAACCAUUUUCAUUUUACAGCUUACAUCCAGGCCAAGUCGAACGAGACGAUCUAUCCACCUAUCCGUAUUGACACCAAUCCAACAACUUCCCGCAUCAGAUUACGAGCCCACCUCUCUGUCUCAGCUGUCCUUCCUGAAUGAACUGACCUACUCUACAUGAAAUUCUUCUUUCAACCUCGACGGAAGACAAGGGGCGACCAAGACAGACUUUGAAAGCGGACUUGUGAACUGGUCCCAUUUUCAUAAGAAUGUUUCCGUGUUCAAUACAAUAAAGGUUGGCUCACUCAAAAUGAUAGAGGCCACGGUCACGCUACCGGAUAUCGAUGAGGGAGAGGAAGCCAGCAUAAGUAAUAGUUUCACCAGUGGAUCUUCGAAGGAAGAGAGUGGGCGGUGGGUGAGUUUAGGUAGAAAGAGAUAAGAUUAAUCUACAAGUAAGAAGAGGGGCGGAGAGCUUCAGUUUAUCCUUGCUGUCUUCGUCUUGUCCAAGUAAGUCAUGCAUGAAUUACCGCUGAAAAAAGGUUCUUUGAGCAUUAAAUGUAAAUGCCGCUGAGGAAACGUCAAGCAAUAAGGGGUAGGAUUCCACUGACUUGUGAAAGGAUGCAUUAAAUAAGACCAUUUAUGGUAAGCCUAUGGUCGAUCCGCUUUAUAACCUAUUGCUUGGCGGUAGUCAACUUAUCGGGCUCUCCUUAUUCAUUCUAUAGGGCACUGCUAACCCCCAAGAAAGAUCUUAAUGCUGAUCACUUCUUUGACGGCAUCACCCUUCACUUGUAGUCCUCCUUUGAGUGUAGGUUCAAUUGGAUUGGAUGAAUCUGUCAAGUCAAGGUCAACGUACGAAGCAGCAAGUAUGGUGCAUCGCCUCUUUCUCGUUCUCGCUCGGAAGCCAAAACGAACACGCCUGCUACCCACUGUACUGGACCUUCGACCAGGCAUUCUACCCGUUGUCGAAUCGGAACCAACCACCACUCCUUUCUUGUCUGGCUCUCGAAGAGUUGAGCGGGCGCUGGCCAGCAACUUCCGUGCCUGAGAAUGGAAGAGGGCAUAGAUUCAUUCUUCGUACCUGGUCCAGCCUCACAACCCUUCGCGGGUUGGUCAGACGGAAUUGGACAAAGAAAAGAGAGUGCUCGACCGGAACAACGUCAAACCAUAGAACACAGCUCCUUUCGGUCGAACCCGCCGGAAAGAAAGACGACCUUACCUUUUUCGUAGAUAGUCUCAGUAAGAGCUACUGUAGUCUCCCCCGUUGACCUUCUUUUGUAGAUAGAAUCUUCAAUGAGUGGAAAGGACUCCCAGACUUGCUCCGCAGUACGAGCCUCAUACAGAGCCGCGCCCUUGUGAUAUGAUAAGAAGAAAAGGGGCCAGGCCGCCCUCUUUUCUUUUCCGCACCAACCCUGAUUGUCAAAUCGGGUGUAUAGCUCAGUUGGUAGAGCAUUGGGCUUUUAACCUAAUGGUCGCAGGUUCAAGUCCUGCUAUACCCAAAAAAAACCACUCUUGUAUUCGUAAGGAUGCAUAGUAGCGUUCAAAGAGCACUCUUUGGCCUUGAGACUCGCCCCUUUCUCAUCAACAUCUCGACUUCGCUCGUUGUGUGAGGUAAGUAUAAAGGAGAUCAGACUGGCUCGGUCAUCGAUAGGCCGGCCUUCUCCUUAUUCAUUGGAUAGGGCGCGGGGGAGAGUCAAGUCAAGCACUAGUUAGUUGGGGUGGGACGCACCAAAGCAGCGUUCGUUGUACUAGCGCCUUCUUUUGAAGCUAAACAGAGGCUCGAAAGACGGAGUACGUCCGAAGUCGUUGGCUGCCUUUUUGUAGUGCGCAAGUCAGAGUGAACUUCUUCUUCUGUUCUGCGAAUCUACAAGCCAUAGUUGUCGAGCAGCCAGCUAAAAGAGAGAAACGUGAUGACUCGAUGUCCCUGGCGAAAAUAGUGGCUACUACUUUUUUGCUUUUUCAAAAAAAAAGGGUUGGGCUAGACCAAAUGACUCGGCCAACAAGAGCUGUUGAAGACUUUUGCUUAUCAAAAUUUGAGAAAAAAAUGAGCAGUAGAUGACUUUCAAAGAGAACAAAGAAGCCAUAUCAUCGAAUCUCACCGCCAAGAGAGGAAGAAAGAAGAGGUGCUUUCAAGCCAGGGCGCGGAGCCCGCUACGCUCAGUCAAGUAACGAAGAAAAGAAAAAUGGAAUUUUUGUCAGAAGCGACUGAUGAGUGAGAGCGCUACGAAGAGCAAAGCCCCGUAGCCUAUCCGUGGUCAGGAAGGCAGGCGAACAGCGCACACUUAAAAAAUUGAUGAAAUACCCAAGAAUGACUAGAAUGAUCAAUUUUUUUCUAUUUCUUCUUUUGAAACCUAUUAUCAGGCUUUUGGUAUAUUAAAUUUAUUAUUAUAUUUAUUCAUUAUUAUAUUUAUUUAUAAUAUAAUGAAUUAUAAUAAUAAAUCAUUAUAUUUAGGGGAACUCAAAUCCUUGCACCCGGGCUUAUAGGUCCUAUUCUUGUGAACCCUACGGCUUAUAUAUCCGUCGGAUCGGUUCGUAUAUACAGUUAGCUAAGGCUCACGGCCACUUUCAUCUGUAAGGAAGACAAGACACUUUUAUACCUCGACGCGCCGCAGCCACUAUUUUGACUACUUUUACGCAAUUAUGAACGGAACGGAACUUUCUCGAUUCCAAUGCAACUUAUCCUUUUGGAGCUGACGUAACAAACUACGCGAGCCUCCCGAUGAAGCCAACAGAAAUCCUAUCCGAAUACUAAAAAUAAAAGGCAAUUUCAUUAUGGUGGUAUACCAGCCGCCAGUUCUGGAACUUCCAGUUCCAAUCGGAGCAUAUAGAUCCGUAAAUGGAUUUGUAUGUAUAGCCACUUCAGUCGUGCUUGUCCUUUCUCGAAUGGAAAAAAAGUAUCUUUUUUCUGGGAACAUGGUAAACCAGAAAUUCUUAUGUUCGUGAUUCUUCAUCCACCGAUGCAGAAAAUGCUCCAGUUUUCCAUUCUCAUAUGAGGGGGGAAAGUUUAUGGGCAAGAGGUCGGCACGAAGUGAUUCAUCAUGCUCAAACAUGAACCGAUCGCUCGUUGGGGACGAUUUAUAAAUCAUCAAAUUCCCACAAAUGGAAUGAGAAGUGGGUCCAUGUAAAUGAUCGAGACCUCGCAAACAACAACGUUCCUUCCCCAUAUGGAGUUCGGGACCCAAAGGCAAUCGUUGAGUGAACUCUAUCUUAUUCGUAUUAGUUGACCUAAGCCGCACCAUUAUUGCUGGGGUGGGGCUCGGCCUCCGAACCGUACGUGGGACGAGUUUCUGCCUCAUACAGCUCGGGCCGAAGACCGGGGGAAGUUGAGGAGAGAUGGGGAGACCCAGCUGCUGCUGGUCGGGACGGACAGGAAACGGGGCGGGGAUAAGCUUGUGAAGAAGCAAGCUUAUUCCCCCACCCCAAAAAACAAACCGACCCUAUAGCGCUUCGCGUUCUUUCUAUUCCAUCCCAGUCUAUUCCGGGAUAGGCGGCUAAUAUUAAUCUAAUAAGUGCAGUAGUCGUCGUCUGACCAAUCGGCUCGGACACCAGACCGCUCGUGCCCGCCCAUUCUGUCUCGCCCUAAAUGGAAUGGCUCUCUUAGUUACACUGCGCUCCGACCCGAGUCCCCAUGUCCGCUUUUAUCCGCCCGCAACCCGCUUUCUUUGCCAACACAACAUUAGGGCCGUUCCCCUCAUUCUAUGCUGACCCGGGCCGGGGCUGGCUUUUUGGGAAGCCCGUUCCCACCGCGCUCACGGCCCGGCUGGCCUGCCAGCGGUAGUGGGAAUUCUCCCGUUCCCUGGUAAAAAAAAAGUUGGUUGGAUGCGGGAUCUACUCCACGAGGAGCGGUACGGACGUAGAUGAUAUCAUCACGACCUCUCUUUGCGUACCGCUAGGGAUGCUUAACGCCACUUCGCCAACUGGCAUUACCUGCGCUUUCGUGUCUCUCAGUGUGGUCAGCACUGGGUGUUUCCGAGCAGCGAGGCUUACACCCAUUCGCAUUAGUUCAUCCAAAGUUCCUUAGCCUUAUGCACGAAUUUUUGAAUAAGCCAUCUUCCUAUCAAGGUUAAGGAGUCAACUGAGCAUCUCAGCGGCGGGAUUGAAUACCCGGAUCGAAUCAGAGUUCACGCCGCCCGCCCUGAACAAAUAGGAGGCGUGGGCCACAGGUCGCACAUAAGCCACCGGGUCGCACGACAGAAGAACACCCAACAUAAAGAUGCACACUCCUCCAUGUGAAAUAGGAAGAUUCAUCUUCACUUUUUUGUAGUAGUCGUGACCAACAGCCAUUAGCAGUCGGCUCGUUGGUAAGGCGAGAGCUUCAAGCCCGAUUUCUGGUGGCACACCCCCCAAACAAGCACCACUCGACGAGGGGGGGACGGGGAAAGCUACAGGCCCAAAACCUUCGACCCUUCUUUCUAUAUGGGGGUGCCCGGGGCACCUCAUCUUGUCAUUUCGUCCUUGCUCAUUCCCGUUAGGCCGAAGUGUUUGGCCUUUCCUUCUCCGCGCCCGCUCACGCUUCGCUGACCUAUCGCGUGGUAAAGAGAAGAGAGUACGAAAGAUUUGUAAACAGAGCAGACCGCAGAAAGAUUCUAAAUAUGACAAGUCCCCCAUGGAUUCGAUAAGAAGGAAAUGAAAAAAAGGAACGAAACGAAAUAAAGCAUUUCUAGCGGAUGAGCUUCUCCCAAUUAUGUCUGGUAAUAGAAUAGGGCGGCUUGCUCUGACCAACACUCCACUUUUUGCUCUGUCCAUGGAGCGUAUGAAUUUCCUGGAAUGUAGAUAGACCAAAAAAAGGAAUUCCGGGAUAGGAAUAGGAAUUAUAGUACCAUUGGAAGAAGGGGCACCAGUGGGAACAUCUCUACUGACGAACCAUUUCAAUAGUACGGGUGCUGCCGUGCCACGAGGCACGACCAUGGAAGUAAUGAAAAAGAAGAAGUUCUGUAGUUGGACCAUCUGCUCUAUCCGUUCGAUUUGAGCUUCUCCAGAGAAGAUGAGACGCUAAAAAUGAAAGUGUUCGCAACGCACACCGAAAAAGGGUACAAAUGUUGCCGACCAUUAAUGACUAGUUCGAACACCAGGAGCAGGGUUGAAACCAAGAAAUAUUUGAAACUUUCCCUAUGUUUCCUAACGUUUUCAAUAAAACCUUCUCGUAGAAGUAUUUUAACAAAGUUUUCGGUGAUAUUAGUAGAUGCUAUUCGAACCCUUCCUUUUUUUUUAUUUAAGAUCUUUUUUUCGAUUUUUUUUUAGUAUAUGCGUGAGACACAAUCUACUAAUUGAUCUAUAUUCAGAUACCCUACUAUAUCAUAGUCUCUACUACUAGUAUUCAAAAUUGAGUAUUUAUAAUACCUCAGGAGCUAAUGAGACUAUUUUAGUCAAAUUCAACUGUCUCAAUUCCCGAGCGAUCGCACCAAAAACUCGAGUUCCUUUUGGAUUUCCUUCUUGAUCAAUGACGACCGCAGCAUUGGUUUUAUAUCGUAUUAUCAUACCGUUGUCACGUUUGAGUUCUUUACAUGUACGUAUAAUUUCAGCUCUAAUUACUUCUGAUCUUUCUAGAGGCAUAUUGGGCACUGCUUCUUUGAUUACAGCAACAAUAACGUCACCAAUAUGAGCAUAUCGGUGAUUACCAGCUCCUAUGAUUCGAAUACACAUCAAUUCUCGAGCCCCGCUGUUAUCCGCUACAUUCAAAAGGGUCUGAGUGAGAUGGAUCUUGGAAGUCUGGUUUUUGAUUGGAUAGUGAUCUCGGGCACGAGUGGUUGAUCUUCGCGGGCCGUGAAUGGCCAUGGAAAGGAGAAUUUUUUGAAAUAUUGGAGAUCGAGAAGAUUGGACGAUGAAUUUGGAUCCAUUGUGGUUUGAAUAAUAGGCUGUGGUCUCGAUAUUGGGCUAUGGGCUGAUUGCUUCCUGUAUGAGCCUCUUGUGGUUGGGCUCUCGUGGGCGGAUUCCCUGAUGUGUACUCAUCUUCCAACAAAGAGGAGAGGACAGGGCUACUGCUGGUCCACGCAUGAGAGCUCCUCUGAUUGUGUCUUUCCGGAAAUGACUUCGACUCGCAAAGCUCACUGAUUGGUGAAACCAGAGGAGAUUCAGAGGCCCAGUUGAGAACAGCAAGCGUACAAUCAAUCGGUGUAUGGAAGUUCGGUGAAGCUAUAUGAAAACCUUUUUUUGGAGGAUUGAGGGGCACAAUCAGUUCCCUGGCUGAGACCCAUUCAUUGGCUAUUGGAAGGAAGAAGGAAGUCUACGAACCGGAAAUUCAAAGUUCGGGUCCAAUUUGUAAAUCCCUUUUUGAUUGCCACCGGUUCGAAAUUUCACCGCUCUCACUCUUGUGCUUCGAGCUCUUUCCAAAAACAAAACCGCCCAACAUCGAUCCGAUUGAACUUCUGACUCCUCGCUCUUCGCCCCUGCCCCUCCACCCAAACCUCCUGAUCCCCAGACCAACCGGCGACGGAACCCUCAACAGCAGGCGGAGUUCUAUAAUCGGAACCCCGUCUAAUGGAGCACCCUUUUUGGUAAUGGAGCUAUGGGCGACAUUGAGAGAAAACUCGACUACUUUGAACCUGAAACUAGGGCUGAUAAGAUCGUGGCCGUCUGCCCGGAAGAAGAGCUCGUGGAGAACGAAAAAAGUUGGAAGAACACCCUCGUCGGGUAUACUCUGGGGAGACGCCCUAAUUUCGAAUAUCUCAAUAAAGACCUCCCUAAGAUCUGGGAACCAAGAGGAGCUCUUGAGAUCAUUUCCAGAAUGAAUGGCUUUUUCCUGUUUCAAUUCCUGCUGGGGGAAAAUGGCUCCAAAGUGCUCGAAGGCGGACCUUGGCUUAUUGGUGGUCGGGUUCUCAUCCUGAUAAAAUGGGAAAGAGGAUUGGAUGUCCGCAAAGACCUCUUGCAGAGCGUCCCUAUUUGGGUACGGUUCCCUCAGCUCGGGCUCCACCUCUGGUCAUCCAAUAUGAUAGGAAGGAUUGCUAGUACUAUUGGUAAGCCACUCUAUAUGGACAAGCAGACUUCUACCAAAUCCCGUCUCGUCUUUGCCAGGGUCUGUAUUGAAGUUAAUAAAGCAAAGAAGCUCCCUGAGAAGGUUUGGAUCGACGUCGGAAAUGGAAGCCUUGAGGAACAAUGUGUCGAAUACGAAUGGAUUUCUCUUUCAUGUACUAAUUGCAAGGCCGCGGGUCAUAAAGCUGAACUCUGUCCGGUGAAAGUGACUCCUACUUUGGUGCCCAAGGAUUCUGCACAAUCUGGAAUAUCGACUUAAUGCCUCCGAUAACUGUAAAGCUACCUCCACAGGUUCUUAGGCUGUUAGCGCGCCCAAUCCUGAGCCUUAUAACCUUGCCCCAGAGCUUGGAGCGAUUCCUACUGGUAAUGUAUGCGAGAUUGGAGCCGAGCAACCCAUUGAGCAUUCCUCAUUACCUAUGUCGAAUUUUUUUGUGAAAAGUUUUGAGCGAUGAUCCGGGCUUAGAAUCGGCUGUCAGUUCUGGAGAUGUCAUUAUGGAACCAGGCCACCAAUCUGAGUAACCUUCCAGUGCCUUAAUCCCGGAUCCUGCUGGUUCCACCUCCACUGCUCCUGCGGUUCUGGACGAGAUUCUUGCUGUCCCAGUGGCCAUGAAAGAGCACAAUCCUUCAGUAUUCUACUGGAAAAGAUGAAGUCCAUAUCAAACUCCUAAAUCCUCAGAGAGAGAUCCCCCCAGUGUCCUGGCUGUGGAUAACCCUGAGUGGAUCCAGCAAGUUGGGAAGUCUAUUCAAUCUGCGAAAGGUGAGGGAAGUGAAUGCAGCUCUAAGAAAAAGCUAAGGCUCGGAUCCAAACAAGAGCAAUGAAAAGUGCCUCCAACAGAGGAGGGAAUUCCCCAAAAAAUCAAACCUAAAACUCCUAAUGAAUGUCCUCAUCUGGAACGUUAGAGGGAUGAACAAUAUUGAGAAGCAGAGGGAAAGACGGGAGCUUAUCAAGAAGAACAAACCCUCUAUUGUGGGACUGGUGGAAACAAAAGUCUGUGAAACCCGAAGUUCUAGAAUAGCUCAUAGAAUGAAGAAGGGGUGUGACCUUAUGGCCAACUAUACUAGCUCUCCUAGAGGGAUAAUCUUGCUCCUAUAGGAUCCUCGUUUUUGGGAUAUUACAAAAAUUUUCGAAUUCGACCAGGUGCUGACUUGCUGCUGUUCUGAGAAGGGGACCUUGAAAAGCUUGACUUUAUAUUCCAUUUUUGGAUCCAAUCUGUCUACAGAUAGGCGCCUGCUGUGGCAGCAAUUAAUUAAUCUCCGCCUUAGCAUACAAGGACCAUGGCUCGCAGCGGGUGAUUUUCAUACUGUCAGAACCGUCGGUGAAAAAAUGGGAGGUAGAGUUCUUUUUUAACAGGAGCCCAGCCCUUUAAAUAAAUUUCAUGACUGUCUGCAGAAUGCGAACCUGACUGAUCUUCGUUCCUCGGGGCACAGACUCUCUUGGAGCAAUCAAUCCGGUGGGGCCAGACGCAUCGUCGGCAGACUAGAUCGAGCCUUAGUUAAUCCUGAGUGGAUCCAAAAGCUGAAUGCUUCCAGUGCUGAAUAUCUUACGCCGGGCUGCAGUGAUCAUGCCCCAAUCCUCGUCUUAUUCCGGCUGUCAGCUCUGGACCAAAGCCAUUCAAGUACUUUCGCAUGUGGGAAUCCCACCCCCAAUUUCUUGAUGUAGUGAAGAAAGCUCCCGGUCACUGGAAAUCCCAUGUUUAUUCUUUUUUGAAUAAACUGAAUAACACCAAACUUGCGGUCCAAGCAUGGGAUAAGCAAUGUUUCGGAAAAGCUGGAGACAGAGUUUAGAUAUGCAGAAAUGAACUAAAUUCUAUUCGACGACUUGCUCCAAAUGGAUCCCCUCAAUGCUCAGCUUGUUGAUGAAGAAAAAGAGAGCUGAAAUAGAGAUUCUCUGAGGUCCUCGCCCAGGAGGAAGAUUUUGCCCGGAAAAAGUCUCGAGUCCAAUGGCUCCAUCUUGGUGACAGCAACAAACGGUUUUUCGACGCCUCCAUUCAUGCUAGGAGAGCCCAGAAUACUAUCCGCUGUCUUAGAGACGGGGGAUACCACACAAAAAAUUGAGGAUAUAAAGAACAUCACAGAAAAAUUCUUCUUUCGGUUCUUGGGGACUGACCCUGAGACCAAUUCCUCCUUCGAGCCUUUUUUCUUCAAGAAAAUACUGACUCCCGAGGCUAGCUCUUGGCUCACUAGAAAGGUCUCUUUUUAGGAGGUGGAGAGCGUUGUGAAAGAAGCUAAGUCCGAUAAAUUAGAUAAGGCCCCCGGGUCAGAUGGAUUCCCCGCUGCCUUCUUCCAGACGUGUUGGGAUGUCAUUAAGUUUGAUGUGUGGGCCGCCAUCCGAAACUUCUUUCGAUCAGGAAGACUGAUUAAGGAGGCUAAUUAUACUAUCAUUACUCUAAUCCCCAAGACUGAGACUGCUGAUAGGAUUGGAACAUUUUAGACCCAUUUCUCUUUGUAACUUGACUUAAAAAAUCAUUUCUAUCUAAAAUCCUCACUCUGCGCUUGCAGGUUGUCAUCCCUGAUAUCAUCUCCGGAAGCCAAUCAGCGUUCAUUAAGGGCCGAAGAAUCACUGACAACAUUCUUAUUGCCAAUGAGCUGGUUCGGAACUUUCAUCUUUCUUCUGGUGCUGCCAAGGCCUGCCUCAAAGUAGAUCUUCGGAAAGCCUACGACAGCGUGAACCGGCAAUUUCUCUUUCACACCUUGAAAUGUCUUGGGUUUAUUGAAACCUGGAUCUUGUGGAUUAAGGCCUGCAUCGGUGACCCCAUGGUUUCCAUCCUUGUCAACGGGUCCCCCGUCGGAUUCUUCCAAUCUCAAAGAGGGCUGCGACAGGGAGAUCCCCUGGCCCCAUAUCUUUUCGCUAUUAUUAUGGAGGCGUUUAUUGUUCUUCUGGAAAAGGCGAUGAUCAAGGGUGCAUUCAGGAGUAUGAAAUUAGGUGUCAGUAUCCAAAUUUCCAAUUUCUUUUUUGCUGACGACCUCCUGGUUUUCUCUAAAGGUGAUCUUCAGUCCCUGGCUGCCAUCCAACAAGUUUUCCAAGAGUUCGAAGCUCUAUCUGGCCUCUCUAUCAGCCAAGAAAAAAAGAGUAAGCUUGACUUUCACCGGGCCUGCACUUGUAAAGCCUCUAUCUGUCAGAGACUUGGUAUCGAAUAAGGCUGCCUCCCCAUUAAAUACCUCGGACUCCCCUUCAAGACUUUCUGCAAUUUUUUGCCGUCCGCUGGUUGAUAAAGUCAGAUCCAGACUUGAGAGUUGGAAGGCUCGUACUUUGUCUUUCGCCGGGAGGCUUGAGCUGGUCAAGUCUGUUCUCUAUAGCCUCCAGACCUAUUGGGCUUCGGCUUUCCACCUCCCGCGGUCAAUUAUAAAAUUUAUUGAAGUUUUGUUGAUGAAUUUCCUUUUGAGGGGUGCUAAUUCCAGUCCAAAGAUCCAUUGCAUUAGCUGGUCUUCUGUUUGUCGGCCUAAGAAUGAAGGAGGGCUUAGCUUGCGCAGGUUACACGACUGGAAUGAUGCUGCCAAAACAAAAAGCUGCUCUGGUUCCUAAUCUGUGAUAACACAUCUCUAUGGGUGAAAUGGUGCAGGGCCAAGUAUUUCAGCAAGGAAAGCAUAACGGAAGUCUCGCCUAAAGCUAAAGACAGUUGGGUCUGGAAAGAAAGGUAUAUUUGAAAUCCAAGAUAAUGCCGCAUCUGCUAUUCGGCAUAUUAUUGGAAACGGCUAAACCACCAAGCUCUGGUCUGAUCCUUGGUUCCCUCAUGGAAUUAUUAAUCAGCUCGUCUGCCUUCGAUUGGAUUUUCUUUUUGGAGAGGUAACUGCAACGUCAGCGUACUUAUUCGGGAAGGGAAAUGGCACCGUCCUAAUCAUAAUUCCCCGGAUCUUAACGCCCUCUGGCCCCUCAUUUCUGCAGUGGAGUUUCCAGCUAAUGGUCCCCCGGAUAGGGUAGUUUGGACUAAAGAACCUUCAGGCCGAUUCUCCUUUAGAUCUGCCUGGGAUCUGAUUAGGACUCAUCACCCGUCUGUUCCGUGGUCGAACUUGAUUUGGCACAAGGAUCGAAUCCCGAGACAUGCUUUCACUGCUUAGAAGGCUCUUAUGGCUAAGUUACUCACUCAGACCGAACUUCAGCACCGAGGAUUCCAGCUUGUCUCUUACUGCUCCCUGUGUAAGGCGAAGACCGAAGACAUUUCGCAUAUUUUUUGCAGAUGUCACUACUCUGCCUGGGUUUGGCAAGUCUGCCGCCUCAAACUGGGACUUAAGCGGAAGUCUGAUUUUUCCUUGCAUCUUGAAGCGGCUCAGCUUGGACAGGUUUUCAAGGGGAGAAGUCAAGUUAGUGCUAUCAGUAGAGUUGCUUUCUCGGCUUGCAUCUGGCAUCUUUGGGGAGAACGCAAUAGAAGGAUCUUCGAGGCCAAAGAACUCCCUAAAGACAGACUUAUCCUUCUUAUAGUGAUUGAUGUUGGUGCCAAAAUCAAUGCUUCCAAUCUGUCUGAGAAGGAGAACCAGAAUUCCAAGGAUAUCAUAGAACAUUGGGGCUGUAACUUCACUCCUAAAAGCUCCAUUGUUAAGACCUGUUUAUGGGAAAAGCUCCCUCCUCAAUGGCUUAAACUUUACACUGACGGCUUUACAUCCAGAAGUUGCUCUGGCAUUGGCGGUAUCAUUAGAAAUAAGUGGGGUGACCCUGUUCUUUCUUACUCCAAGCAGCUGCCGAAGGAAGACAUUUACCUCAUAGAAUUGCGGUCUAUACUGAUGGGAAUUUUGCAUCUUUAUCAGACCUCCGGGUCGAGGAAAAUUUGGAUUGAAACCAACUCCAAAAUUUUGAAAGACUGGAUCUCUAAGCUGGUUGAUCCCCUGUGGCGUGUCAUGAUUAUUAUUUCUAAUAACAUCUUUGCCAAACUCAAUUCCUUUCUUUCUUGAGUGGAGAAUAUCCCACACUUGGAGAGAGGCCAACCGUGCGGCGGAUUUCCUUGCUAGCUACUUCCCCUCGGAGAAUUCAUUUUGAAAAAACCCUAAUGCAUGGGGAUGACCUGCCCCCGAAUCUCAGGGAUAUUCUAGCUGAAGACAAGAGAGGAACUCCUUAUCUAAGGGUGCAUUACUAGCUUGCUGUCUUGUCUUUUUGGGCUGUAUAUUAGUUAGUGUUGUAAUGGCCUCGGGCGACUUUUGUAUUCUUUUCCGCCAUUAAGAAAAUCUUCUCACCGCUUACCUAAAAAAAAAUAAUUCGAUAGAACUGCAAAACCACCUUUUCAAGAUCCAAAGCUAGCCAAGGUGGUCAUCUCGUUCACACCAAGCAAAAAACUAUAAAAAAUAAGCAACAACAAAGAAGGACAAAAAAACCCAGGGAUCGAUGAGGAUACGGGAAAUUCUUGUCUCAUUCACUUGCCCCCUGAGAUACAAAGGCCUGCCUGCUAUGGUCGCGAUCCCCCAACAUCAUGUCCUCCGUGGUGAAUGUAAUGGCUCCCGCCGUCUCAGCGUAAGCUACCUCACGAUACUUGGAAAGCUUGGCGAAGUCAGUCUGAGACUUUCCUCGUACGUAGACAGUAAAAAGAGCCGGGAUCUUCCUCAAAUGAGCUAGGACGUUGUCAUCCACGCCGCUGCUAUUCUUUUUAGGUGGAGUUGGAGCUGGAGCUGGGACAUCCGGGGCUACCAUAGGCUCCUUUCCUUUAUCUUUACUCUUCGAUGCUUCAACAAGUCUCUUUCCCUUAUCUUUUGCAGGUUCCUGGGAAGACUCAGACUUCUUUCCUUUCUAUGUGGAGGGUUCAGGUAUCCGGUCUCGAGGACGCAAUUGCAUAUUCAACACCUCAACUGCUUCCUCUACCUCCCUUAAGGAGUUAAGCUCCAUCUGUCCUCCAAUAGGACGUUCCGCGAGAAGCGCAUCCUGGGGAGUCACGUCAACCAUCCCACAGAAUUCGACUUGACUUUUCUUGAACCUUCGGUCAUGCAAUGUGCUAACCAUCUUGGUUUGAGUCGGAGGAUUGAGAAGCGCAUCCUCACCUAGGGCUAACCUUCCUGCCUCGUACUCUCUUUGCAUCCCAUUCUGAAAGACCCAACAAUCUUCGAGAGGGUGGUGUACGUAUCGGUGAUACGGGCAGUAGUUAGGAUCGUCCUUUCGAUCCACCUCGUUGGGUCUUUCUUUUUGGUUCUGGGAGGGUUCGACGAUCUUCUUAUCAGCACUAUUGUGAACAGCGACCUCACUUUGUCCGGCCUGAAGGAGUACUGCAUCUCGGGACUACCACGAGGCUUGCGUUCUUUAGAAAGAAGAAAGACCGGAAGCCUUAGAUGAGGUUCCAGACAGAAAUUGCUUCUCAGGAAGCCGAGAAGGUAGGCUAAUAGACCGGAUUGAGUCGAUCAACAAGCAGAAUCGACAUGAACCUUAACGUUGAAAUGAGAGAUUGGUGAAAUGAUUGCACAAACAAAGCCUGAUGGGGUGGUUUGCUCCUAAAAUAGUCCACCCAUCCUAAAAGUGGUCUUCCAAGCAAGAUGAAAUACUCGAAUCAUCCGUUGAUUAUACUUUGUCAAGCGAUUGGAGUGACCACAGAAGCGGAACGGAAAAGGGAAGAAAGAAGCAAUCGGCGAAGGGAGAAGGCCCGGUGAAGACUCACCUUUUCUCGAGGAAGGAAAGAGGCAGCUGUCAUCCAAAUAGUGGAUUCAGUGAGUCGGAAUGGUCAAGCAAGAGAGAUUGAUUCCAUGUGAGAUCUCAAGAACGAGUGGAAAGUCAAGCGCAUUGGUUCCAGUUCCAGUAGAGCAAAGAGUGGGUGGAUUGAACAAUGGAAGUCGAAGUAGUCCAAAGGUGAGUCUGCCAGUCCAGAGUUUGGUCAACCGAUCAGCCAAACCUUUUGAGUUGUCAGUCGAUUCGAAAGCGUGCCACUAAUAAGCUCACUUUAGCGCCCUUUCGGAUGGCCAGUUCUGAAUCAGAGUGGCUAGUGCGGUAGACUGUUUUUUUUUCGGUACUCUUUUUUUUAUAUAGCGCUUGGAUUUCUCGACUAUAGAUAUCUCGAGAUAUAAGUAGUUCUUUGGGUUGCUUCAGCCGAGAAGGAUCCGACUAACGGGGGAGAAGGAGGGUGAGUCAAGGCCUCUUUGUCUACAAGUCGAGUUUGAUCGAUUUGUGAUAUUAUAUCGGAGACUUCUGACCUUAAAAACGUAGAUUCUUGUGCCCAGAGACUCUGACGCUUUGCCAUUUACUGGAUUUCUUGUUCUAGUACCAAUAGGUGAUGACUAGUGCACUAACCGACUCUUGAUUACCGUUUUUUGCUUACUCUUUUUUGGCCUGGAAGAGCGAACGAUCCACCUGGACAACUAAACUGAGACAAGCCCAAUCUUUACGUUAGCCUGAAGCCAAUAGAGUAAGCGAAUAAGAGAUAGCCUAGUUGCUUAUGGUAACAAGUUUGAUCCUAUAGUACCGGACUCGCCGUAUUAAAACCUGUUUUUCCUAUUGUUUUUGGCGACCUUAUGACAUUGUAAUCUUAGUAUCCGCUUGUCAGCCUUCUUUUUAUUCAGGUGAAGUGGCAGAAAUGUAAACCUUGUAGUUCUAACUCUUUUUACCAAUAAAGGAUACUGAGAGAAAGAAGGUGGAUAGGAAUGUUCCAACUGAAAGAGAUGAAUAAGAAGAGCAAUAAGUAAUAGAAAGAAGGUUAUGUAAUACAGACAGAUUUUAGUCAACCACAGAGCUAACCGCUGCCCUAAGAAAGCUAGAGCGAAUAGGCGCUUGUGCGCUUGCAGAGUGAGGGUCGGGCUGAUCCAAGAGUUCUGGUUCCGGUUCGAGAACCACUUCUUCCUCUGCAAACAAAAAAUGGGGCACACCAGCCCUGUCAGUGGAGUUGCACUCGUUGUUCCAUCUUCUUAAUCAAAGCAAAGUCAGAUUCCAACCUCGGACACAUCCUCUUCUCAUUGAUCUGUGGAAUCGGCCCGCUGUGAGCCAACAUUGGAACCAGGUCUUUUGAGUCUCCUACUCCUCUUGCUCUUAGCCCAGUACUGGAGGUCGAGUGGAACUGGUUUUCCGGAAGCAAGAAAGACUCCUUUUGUUUAGUGCUCAAAGGCAAGUCAAUAAAUCGAUAGAAACUAAAUAAAGGAAGAACAAUCAUUCAUUGAUGUAGUCGAUCAAGCAGAACAGAAUCUAUCUCAUUGAAUAGGGAAAGAGAGAACUAAGGAAUGCCAUAAGGAGAAAGGAAUCCGAUAAGAGAGAGAAAUCACAAAAGGAAGUGGACUCCAAGAAUCCGAGAGUCUCAGUUUAGUUUCUAUCGAGUGUAAGUCAUUCAGUCCCGACAGCCUCCCACCCUAGACCUAUAGUUUCACGUGGGAACUAGGACCACUUUCUAGUUGGUACUACAACGCACAAGCGGUAAGAGCAAACUGUCUUAUUGGUUUCCUUUAUUGCGACGUACUCUAUGGGCUUAUCGUCCCCCUCCCUACACGUCGACCUUUUCCUUGCUCUGGCACUGAUUGACCAGCUUCAUCGUCAACAUUCUCAUUCCCAUAGCUUCUCGGAUGACGACUGCUGACUUUGUCUUCAUUUCAUUCUUUGACUGCUAUGAGCUUGAGGCAGAGUCGGCUGAAGGUAGAAGGAGAAGAAGAGAUUUUACUAUGCCCUUCCGAUCGAAAAAAAGAAGAUAAUUGCUCUGGAAAACUUGUGAAAUUCAUCUGAUGGGCUUUUCUUUCCAUUGAAUAGGAAUCGCCCGGUCAACGGUGAUAGCUGCUCGCCUCCUUCGAUGAAGACAAAGAUUGAUUGCUAGCUUUAGUUAGGCAGUAAGCGAAAAGGUGGGCUCUCCCUCUUGGUAAGAAGGUCCGAUCACGGGCUUAUAGCGGGCUCUCUCUCUUCAGGUGAAAAGCUCUUUUCAAGCAGUGACAGAGAAGUGGGAGACAGAGCUUGAGGAAGAGGUAGGCGGCAAUAAAAAAGGUAGUCUAUCCAUUCUGGCGUUCUAGGCUUAAAGCUCAAUCCGGUAAACCUACCUUGUUUUUUCAAAAAUUUGUAUUCUUUCCGGGACGAGUGGGCGAAUCAUGUAGUUCUUAAGCUCCUUACCGUAGUUGGAAUAAGUAUGAAAUAUCCCUAAAGUUGAGAAAGAGUAGUUGGUUGAAUAGGCCUUUAUCUUACUCUUCGAGACAAACGAAUCAAACUCUUGUUUGGGAUCCACUAGUUCUUUGACUGGAUCAACGUAUGGAUCUCCUUUCGGCUCUGCUCCCGUCUGAGCCUGUUCUCUCGCUGGAAACGUAUUUUGUCGAUGAAGGGAAACGGCCAAUUACAAGCAAUUGUUGCUACGUUUUUGUACUCGACUGGUAUCAUACAUAAAAAGAGGGAUAGGCUUCCUGGAAAGAAAGAGUUCUGUCGGGUUUUUAGACCUUAAAACGACUCUGUGUUCUUUGCCAACCUAUUUCAUACCGUACUCGUCGUACUUCCUCUUCUGCAAUCAUCAUGGUAAGCUUAAGCGCUUAAAUAGUGUGUAUUUUCAAUCGUAACCAGCCCUUACCGCGAUCAGCCUUUACCGGCUAGACCGAGGAGAGAGGAACAGAAGACUCUUGAUUUUAGGCUUGUUGUAUAGUUUCGAUAGUAACAGCUUCUCCAACAAGGCCUCUUGAGCCUCGGGCGCAGUUGAAGAAAGAUUCUCCUUCGGCUUGUCUUUGUCGGAUUUCUUUUUCGUCUGCUUCUGGGGUGCGUCUGUGUCAGCGACGGCUGUCUGCUCUUUAGGGCGACAACCCUUGCUCGAAACACCGAAGCGGCGAGUAUCCCGGGCUGUUUGAUCAGCAUUGCGCUCUGCCAGCGCUCGCUCUAACCCACCCGUUUGCCAACGAAGAUAGCAUGGCGAAAGAGGAAACUGGGGUCGUAUGCAAAGCAUAUUUCAGAUCGAAGAGACGGUUGUCGAUGCACAUCUGGACUUCAGGCUCAUCGAGCUCCUUUUCGCACUGAAGCGUUAACUUCAGCCAUCGGGCAAGAGUUGCGUCAAACGGUUCUCCCUUCGUCUGCUUUGUAGCAAGGAGCUCCGAAUAGGAAAGGCUUCGAGAGACUGAAGAAAAGCGCCUAUGAAAGGCCUCGACCAUUUGCUGCCAUGAAUGGAUAGAGUUGGGAGGAAGCCUCCCAUACCAACUAAAGGCUACACCAGACAACGAGGCCGAGAACUGGCGGAAUAACAGACGCUCGUCGUGAGCCGUGUCUCCACAGCUGGUCUCGAAAUGAGCGAUGUGCUCGACCGGGUCUCCGGUCCCAUCGUAGAUCCGUCACUGGGGCAUAACAACAUUUAAAGGAAAACGGACGGAUGCAGUGGUAGCGGGUCAGGCUUACGAUAGCCUUGGUUGGGAUCGUCGCCUGACGCGCGUCAUUCGUUUGAAAUAAUCUUCCGGAUUUUCUGCUCUGUUAGCAGAGCGUUUGGAGGCCGAGGCUCAUCCGGCUGUUCCGGGUUGCACUCGUCCGCCCACCUGGGACCUAUCGAGGGGAGGGAAGUGGAAGGUUGACGUGAGGUGGACGGCCCUCCUGGUCUUCACCUAAUUGUGGAAGAGGGGAGUAUCAACUCUCUCUCGCGCCUUUCUUCAGCUUGCUUCUUCCUGUUCGUCCAUUCGGGACGGGGCAGGCAGCCCACAUACAUGAAGAGAAGAAGAGGGGGGUUCCUUGUCUGUCGGUCGAAGAAGGCAACAAGUGGAAGCAACCGAUGCUUUGGUCAUUCAGUUGACUCCUCUGUGCUUGCUGUCAUGCUGGCAAAAGCGGGGGUUUCGGCCGGUUUUACCUACUAUUGGAUUUGAACCAAUGACUCUCGCCGUAUGAAAGCGAUACUCUAACCGCUGAGUCAAGUAGGUCAAGCUGAGUCAAGUCAGAGAAAAUAGACUAUAAGAGAAAGCCAACCAAAGCGCAACCAGAGUUCUCCGCGGGGUGGAGCGCUAAGAAAGAGAAAGCGUUAUCGCUAUACGAAAUGAAGCAGCGGCUAGCACGCUAAGAUAAACCACUUGGAAAAGGCGUCGCCUUUCUUUCUCGGUCGUCUGUCUUAAUUCAUGUUGUAAUGCGGUCGUUCUCUGCUGCAUUGGUGUUUUCACUCCCCACUCUCCACCAUAACCAAAUUUUUCUACCAUAUCUCAGGAGUAGUCAAAGGAAGUACGGCGGGUCCAAGUAGGAAUAAAUUCACUAAGAAGUAGGGGCAUACAUAAAUGGAUCAAUUCAUUCAAAAAGAUCCGUUCGGAUCGAACCAGGAUGAAUGGGAUUGGUCUGACCUCUCGCUCGGAUGGUUGACUCCCGCCGACGACAGAUGUCCCAUGCCACGUUUCGUGAACAGCUAUGCCCGAGAAUGAAUGAAUUGUAAAUUAGCGCCGAAUAAGCCACUGACUGUAGAAGAGGAAAUGGGGGGCCCUAUACCAUACAUCCUGCUGCCUCGGGACGACUGCACGUUACAUCAUAGCAGCACCACCAAAUGGUGGAGGCGGAAAGCAGCUUCAAAAGAAGGGCGGGGCUUCUGACUGAACACCAACCGGAACCGACAGAAGCGAAGGUGCAAAACCAACCGUCUCUGCUUAUAAUGAGAAGCGUGUCACUGCAUGCCUCCGAGGGGACGCAAAGCAAACUUUAUCAUUUUCUUUGGUUGGAGAAAGGGCGGGGUCUUGAUCUGGUGGUUGUAAGCAAGAUCGAUCAAGCUCAAUCAAUAGAGGAGCUAAACUUUUCCACCAGACAGGUGAUACAGCAAGGAAAAUGACUGAUGAUUGAAGGGCCGGACCCUCUAUUUGAAGCGGAGAGUGGUCAAAGAAAGAUGGGCGGUUCAAUCGAUAGGUCUGUGUAACGGUAGGCUCUUCAAUCAAUCACUCGAUAUGGUCUUAUCUCUCCAAACGGUGAUCCAUCGUCUCAGUCCAUCACUAGGGCCCUGAGAUGGAAACCAUCCACCGGAGCAAGGGUUAGCCAAGCCUUGGUCUCGUUGGAUUGCGUGAAGGCGCGCUACUCACGAAUAUCUUGCAAGCAAGAUUUUUGAUUCACUCUCGUGUGAGUGCAGCGUACCGGGUAGGGCCUUAUCUUAGUUCCUGCACCCGACAGCUUCUUCUCUGCUCAACUGUGCACCAUGUAUUUGCAUAGUCGAUCGAUGAUCGACCGACCUUCGUUGCCUCAUUUCAUGAGCGGUACUUACGAUUUUUCUCGGUACACGAGAUCCAAUGUAACACAUAAUUGAAACAUGUGCAACAUAAAUAAAGAAAGAGAAUCGACUCGAGUCGAUUCCCCGUGCUGCAUCGAAAUGCUUUCCCGCUUCUCGUGACCCUUCCUGUCUGGCUAUGACAUUAGGUGUCGACCCUUCUAUUCAAUUUGUGAAGAAGCUCCGGUCGAGGGGUUGGAUCCCUAAGUCCCCGGUUUGGACAGUUUUCUGUAACAGUGUCAUGGCCAAGUACGGAGCUGAGCUGGAAAAGGCUAAUUUCCUUGAUGCCGUCCAAGCCACUAGUGUGUACGUCUAAUGGUCUCUAACGUGUUCAAGGCCUUCUUGGAAAUCUUUUGUUGGGAGACUAACACGUGCCUAACUCCCCAUGGUGAGUUAGGCUUCUCUCUCCCGGACAUGUUGGCCCUCUCUCAUCUUCCAGCCAGGGGUUUCCCUUACGAGGAGUUUUUCCCAACCAAUGAAGAGCUCGAGGUCAUUCGCCAGUCAAACCCUACUUUCUAUCAUGUGAUGGCCGAGUUAUUCCUUUACUUCCAGAUCAUUCCUUAUUUGUAUGAUCAGGACAACCGUGUUGGCGUUAAGCACUGGAUGCUCCAUUUCUUUGGCGUUCAUGAGACCAACAAGGGGAAAAGGGGUGAAGUUAAAGUCCAGUUCAGGUAUCCUUCCACCGAAGGAACAUUCCUCUGGCUACCAAGUACAAGCUAUCACUUGAGCCCUCUCCUUGCGAAGCUUUGGAUAACAAGCCUGUCCAACUCCCUCUCUUCAUAGAUCAGCGUCCGAUGCAUGUGCUAACUCCUUGUGGGCCGCUUUCUUCGUACUUUGGCUACGCCGAUGUGUCGUUCCAUGCAACAAAGGUGACUACAUUGACCCAGGGUUAUUCUACAUUGUAGCGCGGAUGGCUACAAAGACAGGGGUGGCCUUAUGCCCUGCAAUGAUUGCCACGCUGUGUAGCGGGUUUGCGAAGCAUACAAAGAAGGUUUCCAAAAUUCAUGAACACUCGACCCCCUACCCUGGUCAUUACUUUUACGCCUGGUAUGUUAUGCACUUCCAUGUGUUCCAUUCUCUGAAAAGCGAAUCAAAGCCCGAGCACGCGCAUCUGGCGCGGUUGGAAAGCCAGGGCUUUCACAACUGCUCUCUUCAAGAGGCUCGAGAGAGAUUACGUCAGAAAGACAUGAUGACCCGGUUCGUCCCCCUUUCGCUACUGACAUGGUGCUUUUUCUAAAGGAUGAUGGUCCUAGAGGACGCUCUUCCCUGUCCAACUCCGACAUAAUCUGGCUUCGCUUCAUUCGGCCUAAAACAUUCGUCUUUCGUCAAUCUAAUUCGGUCGAGCUGCAGCCUUAUUUACCCAGCCGCUUUGCAAUUCAACUUGGCUAUUGUCAGAGUAAGGUUGGUAACCCAAAUACUGACUUAGCCCGAAGCGGUAAUACGGUUGAUGCUGCGAGGGCAUGGUUCGAUUACACGGAUGUUGAUACAGGCUCUUCCUUCUCUGGCCCCGUCUUGGGCAAAGCAGUACACUGGUCCCAUGAGCACGUCAGAUGCUGGAGUCAGUCGAUGGUGUCAACCAGCCUUCCACGCGCCAGCCCGUAUGUUUUGGUCUUUCGGUAGAUAGAAGCCUGCCUUGGACCAGCGAGAUGCUUCCCGAUGAGGAGAAGCAUGAAGAAGACUAAGACGCAACUCUUUACCUCAGCUCACUAAUCUUGUUCUGAUCAAGGACUUUCAACCGCUUAUUCGCUCUGCACACGAACGAGACUAAAUGGGGCGCUACACCGGUCACCAGGGCAUCAGUUGUCCAAGCUCUCACGCUUAUGGAAUGUCCUGGCCAUACUGCUCUAUGGGGAAGGCCACAACGCAGGGACGCGGCAAGAUCGCAACUACCCGGCUACACUCACUCCUAUCGGGUCACUAUCCUAUGGCUGGAAACACAAUAGGAAACGACCUCCGUCAUCACAUGCAUUGAGCAGGGUAGGGAUCAGCAACACAGACCAAAGGCACCGCGCCUCGGCAUGACUCUCACAGCACCGGCUGCUUACAGGCAAGGAGCCAGAACAGGAAGACAAUGAACAACCACUCGCUGUACACGGCUGAAAUACCACUAGAUCAAAGAGGAACAGGUGCUGUAGUGUAGGCAAAGCAAAGAACAAACAGAGUAGGAGAUAGGGCUGCCAGAAAGGGGUCCAUAAAUGAUGGACUGUGGAUAGGGGGAAAGCGGAGGGGAGAUCGACCGCCAGCAGCAGCAACCGUUGUUUAGCACGACACAGCAGGAAACUGAAUAGGCACGGAAGGACGCAUGCAGAUAGACAGGCAGAAACAGAAUAGCAAACCGCCAUUACGGUAGCACGCUUGGUGUGAGCAGGCUAGGCUAUAAGGGAAAGGGCAGACAUGCGCCAAAGGCAGAGCCAUACAAGGAGCACGCCCACUGAAGAGAGCACGCCACAAAGCAGAGCACAGAGCGCACGACCAGCGAGCCAGCACCAUAAGCAAAAUUCGCUCCAUGCGAAUUCCCCAUACGAUACGUAUCCUCACUCACAGACUGUAAUCCAAGCUGCACUUCGAGUUAGAGAGAGAAAGCCUUCCCUAAGGUGAUAGGGAUAAAGCGCUCUACGGACCGCUCAUGGACGAAGCGAUGAAGGAUUCCACUGGACAAUUAGAAAUCCUAUGUGUUAAGCAUUGAUUGCAACAUCGGUUUAGACGGAUCCAACACGUAAUCGACUCGAGGAGAAAUGGUCCCUUCGGAUCUAUUCUAUCGAAGAGAUCUUUCCCUAUGUCAAUUGUCGAUUUCGGUCGGGAGACUACUCUAGAAAGAUUGAUUCCAAAACCACAACUGUACACCACCAAAGGGACCACGAAAGCAAAUAUGAGCCCCGAGACUAGGAUCCAGCCUUCUUCCGAGAGGAAAGAGCGGCUCAAGAAGUGGAACUACUAAGACCCGCGAGGGUCAUCCUUUCUUGAAUCGUAGCUCUCUCACUUAACCUGACCUGCCUACCACUUAGAGGUUCAUUUUCCAGCAAGUACCAAAAGACCAAUGUUUUUCCGGUCUCAACCAAUAAGGAGCUUCUUAAGAGGCGGAGGGAACUGCCCAAGGCUAUAAGGUUAGGAAGGAGAGGAGGGCGUAGCUUUAAAAGUGAAGGAGUUGUCCCUCAGAGAUGAAGGAGCUGUUCGUUCGCCCAGGGCCCGAAGUACUGUGCUAUCCCCCCGCCUAAGGUUUUAGAGGUUGCUGAGUGGAGCACUUCCGGGGAACGGGCCGUGGGCGGGUAGAAAGAAGAGAAGGAACCCGACUUCCCUCGAUAGAUAAGGGAGGGACUGUUCAUGUCGCUAUUAGGUAAAUCGAUUCAGAGGUUGAUUCCGGCCCUCAAAACGCACGAGAAUUGUUUUAGGGUGAAUCACCUGUGAGGUACGAAAAACGGACGUUUUUAUGGGCAGACUUUGAAUCCCGUCGGACAAGGACUAGAUCACACCGAGCGCUCUUGGUCAAUCCUCCGAAUGAACAAGCAGACCAAGGAAAGUGCUCGCUUAUAGUCACACCUGUCUUUUGCCCCUGCUCAAGCGUCCCAGCCUUUACCUUAGGGGGAGGUUUGACUACUCAGAAGAGUUAGACUUGGCUUAUGCAGGCGGACAUGUGUAUGGAGAUGCUAAUGUGUAUGGGAGUGCCGAUAGAGAUGGGUGGGUGGGAGUGUUUAUAGAGAUUCUAAGACGUGUAUCUAUCCGUACGAAGACGCCGAUCCCAGGGAUGCGUCUGCCUUUGCAAGUGCAGGUGUGGAUGAAACGACCCGUGGAAAAAGAGAAAAGGGAUCUGCUGUUUCGACGCCGCUGUGGAUGCGGGAUUGGAAAGGCUUUUUGUGGUGGCCUCUAAUGCAAAAAAGAAGGAAUGCAGAUGGGGCCUCAGAUUUUGAAGCCCUUGACGGUACGUUCGGGUGGGGCUGCUUUUGGUUCGGAGAAUGCUUGCCUGUUUCGGCUUUACGCCUUUUUCCCAUGCAUGGAAGGUGGAGGGUCGCAGACCGCUCGACGAGUGGAAAGAAAAGAGGUCGGCCACUAAGGUUGUUGCUAUUCGAGGAUUCCGGCUGAAGAGAGCACAUGCCCAGUUUUUAUAAUCACCUGACCGGUGUGUAUAAUUAAUUCAUAACCAGACUCGCAACUGAUUUGUAGCAGGCUAAGAAAAAGAAGAAGAGUAGGGAUUUUACAGACCAAAGAAUGGAAUAGGCGAGAGCCUCGUCUCAGGCCGGGUGUGGCCAGUCAGCUCUGAUACCAUACUUGGGUUGUGAAACCCCCUGCUUUAAGGUUUUCGAGAGGAAAGGAAAAAAAAGUGAUAUGAGCAGCAGGAAAAAAAAAGUAUUUUAGUACCGACCUUAUGGUUAUUAUUCUUUGAUGGUUCACACACGAGCCGUGGUUCUGGAGUCGGCAUAGCUCUUUAUUUACCCAUGGGGCCAUGAGUUUUCUAGUUAGACUUCCCGACCAACAUAGCCGAAUAUUAAGUGGUUUGAAGAUGGGCUUUCGAGAUGGAUAUUCCUAUGGAGAAGAUUUCAAAAACAAGGGAUGAGAAAGAACAGCCUGGAAAGCUAAUUGUGGACAACUUUUUGAAGUGCUUCAACCACAUACAUACUCAUAUCUAGGAUGGGUAAUAAGCAAGCGGAUGUAAUGGUAGCCAAGACAUCCAUGUUGUCUUUCACUGAUGAUAAUCCCCUUUGCAUUAUAGGUGUAAGGCAAAUUCCAAUGCCUGCACAUCACUGUUUUGUUAUAAGCCUUUCACUCUCCCAGCCUGUGCCAACAUGCCUAAACUUUUGUUCUAAAACAAAAAAGACUAUGCCCCGCGAAGGGGAUUUGUUGUUCUAGGAAAUGUGUUGUACCGUAGAUCCUUCGACAGAACCAACCGACGAUGUGACGACACGGCUCAACAAACCAUUCAUGAAACUCAUGCAGGAGCAUGCGGUGGUCACAUUAAUGGACAUGCGCUAGCUAAGAUAACUUCUUAGGUUAGGGUACUAUUGGCUGGCUUACUAUGGGGAAGGAGAGAAGGACAGCAUAGAGUUUGUGCGUAGGUGUAAGGAGUGUCAGACUCAUGGGGAUUUCAUCCAUGCCUCUUCAACGUCUUUCUUUCACACCCGCUUUCGACCGUCCAAUUCUUCCUCUAGUCAUGGUCACCAUUUUGUUAUCACCGCUACAGACUACUUCACCAAGUGGGUUGAAGCAAUACCAAUGGCCUUAACCGAUUGGAAAGGCGUGGCAUGCUUCAUCUACACUCAUCUUCUUUAUUGAAUCGGUCUUCCUAAGUCUAUAGUCUUAGAUAACGGUACCCGAACCGGGGGAAUAUAUGCAACCGGAGUUUAGGAUUACUAAAAAUUUGAGCACCCCUCCGGUCAAUCAAGCUGAGGCCACAAACAAGACCACGCUUAGUAUCCUAAGCAAGACUGCUAAGGAGAAAAAUGAGGAUUGACAUUUGAAACCUUAAAUACAAGAAAAAACACUCUUUUUACUAUGGUUAUGUCGAAAGAAGAGAGCUGACCCUAAACAGAGAGAGGAGAACGCAGAGCUUGAAGAAAGAGAGCAGAUCACAGAGCUAGCUUUAGCCGAGAACCUAUAUCUAUACUAUAGCCCGCAAACCGAAGUUUCGCAC